rnacentral:lncRNA from 1 species
AAAAAAAAAAAAAAAAAGUCCAUCAAGAGCAAAAUUUUGCCUUGCUUCCUAAGAAGGGACAUUCAAGAGAAAGACACAGCACGUGGCAUGUGUUGCCCUAACCAAUUAGCAUCAGUGGGAAAUUACAUGCAAAUAACUUCAAUUGCAAUUUAAAUGAAGAAACAUUGUGGACUUUGCGUGAAUCGAGAGGGAUAUGGUGUGCAACAAUGAGAAGAAAACGGGUAUACUUUGCGUGCAAAGUAACAACCGAAGUUUAAAGUGGUCUUGGCACUAGGUUCAAUAAUUAAUCUGUGCUCACUAAGUUUGUUGGAGUUGUUUGGCAAGUAAUUGAGAACCUUGAAGAACGCAUGCAAUAUUUCAGCAGUAAAAAGUGCACAAGAAUCAAAUUUACAGCGGCGACAUGCAAUAUGUCUAUCGAGUUAAAAAGAAAAUCUUAGAUCCCUUGAUACUAUGUGGUGAAAAAAAAACAUAGCCCAUUUGGCAAGCAUUGUGCGAGUGUUAAUAAAAAAAAGCUGGAAAUCAAGACUAAACGAAGGCUCGACGAUUACCUCGGUGGUGUAAAGAAUUUUUCUGGUUUGUUAUCUCCUCACAAUGCUGUGAUUUGUUAGCUGUACUUGAAGCCGUAAGGGAUCUUAUUGGUUUCUUUUAUAGAAUUCAAACCAAGCAAUAAAAAAGGGAAAUCAAAGUUCAUUCGGAAGUUGCAGAAAUUGAGUAUUAUGACAUUGGCUUCCAAAAGUCAUUCAGUUGAUUGUUUCCAAUUGUUUACAAGUUGAUUUUAGCAGUUGUCGGUUUGCUCCCAUGGUGCUUGAUUGAAUGUUCAUUCUAGGCGGUGGACCUAUUUUGAUUGGUUGUGUCUCUUCAUAUAGAAGCAAGGAAAUCAAUGUCUUACUCAAAGUUGCACGGAAAACUUUGGCAAUGUUCGGAUUAGGAAGCUGCUAAGAUCUGGAGACUGCCACAUUUGCCGAGAAGUUCGUGUAUGCCGCAAGUUGGUUUUAAGCACUUUCUAGUUUCAAUACUUUGCUAGUUACGUGGCUUUGGAAAGUGGAACAAUGCAUGUUUGAUUGAGCAAUUGUCUGGAAACUUGGUUCCCAAAUAUUUGUGACAAGUUUCUCGUAGCAUUUGGAAAUAUAAAAUUUAAUGGGUCUUGCUCCUUUAAAUUGAGCUGGUGCCAGGUUGCAAAAAAAAAAAAAAAAGGAACCAAUGGCCAUUUGGAAUUUGCAAAGGCUGAUUAUAGCAAUGUCAUGGAUUUGGAAGCCGCUAACUUUCAGUAACUUCCAAUUACUUGAGAGGCAAAUUGGAAAUUAUCAACUCAAUUUAGUAUCUGCUGCAUAUAGUUUUGAGUGUGGAGGUGUGAAGAUAUUUCCUAAACUUAGCACUGCGUUUCCAUUCUCUAAAGUGAAAGUUUCAUGGUGAAUAUUGAAUGGAAAGUUUCCACGGAAUGAUUUGGUGGCCAUGUUUGAUUGUUGAAGAUGUUUAAGCGAUGCCGCGGUCGUAGAAAAUUUCCCAAGUGCAAGAUUGAAGCCAAGUUGCAAUAGAAGCAGUGAUACCCAAUUGGAUGUUUCCAUUUCUUGCUUCAACAUACUGCCGGUUACCAUAGUCAUUUGAGUGAUUUUGGAAAGUGGAGCAUUACUUUUUUUUUUUGGUAUCAUUUCCGAAGUCGUUCAGCAACCUUUGGUUUCCAAUGUCUGUGGCUAGUAUCUUAGGACAUUUGGAAUUCCAAAUAUCAACGAGGUAGCCAUUUGGAUAAUGGAAUUGAUUUUGGCAAUUGCCAAGCCACUGAGGUUCGAGACUAAUUGCAGUAGAAGCAACAAUUGCAUUGUGAUAACAUGGGGAAUAAUCUUAUGCAUUGCACUAUGCAGUAGACCGCAUGAGAUACGUGAAUGGUGUAAACUUCUUAUGAUCUUGGACCACACGUAUUAAUCCAGGCUCUAAUUGCUCGCCACCAAAUUGGCAAAGGAAUUGACUUUUCUUUUAUAAAAAAAAAAAAAUCAAGUACUUCAAGUCUCAAUUACAAUCCUUGACAAGCAAGUCCCAAUUGAGCUUUGAAAUGGGGGCAUUUGUAGACAAAGAAAUUUUAUUUAAUUUAUUUAGUCAAGAUUUAUUCAAAUUAAAUUGAUCUUGAUUAAAUUAAAUUAAAUUAUAGAAGUCUAUUAUGUUUUGAACUGGCAAAUUGGGCCGAUAUUAUAUGGGCUAUUAAAUCAAAUUAAAUUUGUAAUGUCCAUUUAAAUUGAAGUGAAUUAAUUGAUUUAUUAAUUCACCAUGGACCAUUUGGGUUAGCCCACUAUUUUUAAGCCCAAGUUAAAUGGGUUACUUGAGUUACAAGUUACCCAAAAUACAGGGAGGUUCUAAGGAUUUUUUUUGAAGACUUAGCUUACAUAUUUUAACUAUAAAUAAAAGGUCUUCCCUCAAGACAAGGAUACAAGAAGAAAAAUUCCAAAACUUCGGAGAAACUCUGGCAAAUUCUCUCAAGGGCUUUCUCUCUCAAAUCCAAGUUCAAAUCAAGUUUAACAAAUUCUCCUGCUAUCGGUGUUGAAGACUUAAAGUUCCAAGUGUUUGACGCCAUCAUCAAAUCAUUCGUUUUUCUAUGCCAAAGUUGUAGGAAAUGCUCUUUUGAUUGGAGAACAAGCCUUUUUGGCCCUUCAAUUGAAGCCAUUCGAAGAGAAAAAUCAGGGGAUUAAUUUUUUUGAUUUAAGAACUUUCAGAAAUUGUAACCUACUUAUUAUUUAAUUCAAUAAAUUUGAUAUUUGUGCAAGUUUUCUUGUCUUUUAUUUCAGGCAACAAAAUUUGUGCUUACACACUUAUUUUUUCAGUUGAUCCAAGUCAAGUUGCAAUUGCGUAAUGUGAUGUUAAGUAUUCAGAGUCAUGCAUCUUUAAGUUUCUUAUCUUAAUUGCAGGUGUCAUGCUUCUCAAUCAAAUUUGACAUUAUCUACAUUUUCUUGGUUAUAAAUACUGCUCUUUUUCCAUGGUAAAUAUUGCAUAAACUCACAUUACUUGCAUCCUGAGUUCUACCCCUCCCCAAACCCUCUGAACAAGCCCUCCUAAAUACCUAGUUGAACUUUUGAUCCAUCCUUAGUAUCGGCCAGGCAUGGAGUGCAGGCAGUUUGAGGUCACUCUAAUUUCUGCCGUUAAUCUUCCAAAUGUUCGAGAACUUGGCCAGAUGAAAGUUUAUGCGAAGGUUCUAAUAAAAGGAUAUUCAAACUCAGAGUGGAUUACUUCUGUGGAUAGAGAAAGAGAGACAAACCCUUAUUGGAAUUGCAGGAUUAAGUACACACUCCCUGAGAAAGCUGUUGAGAAGGACGGUGUUCUGCUUGUUAUCAAAUUGUACUGUGAAAGAUCAUUGUUGCCUGAUAAAUAUGUAGGGGAAGUGAAUUUGUCACUGAAGAAACUUUUUGACUAUGGAUUUCCACAGGAAAAGGUGGAAUAUUAUGUGAACAGGAAUGAUGUUGAUGGUAAAUUUGGGAAACUGAAACUCUCGUAUGAUUUUGGGAAGACGACGGUUACAAUUUCUGAGAAAGAACCUAGUUUUGGGGAGGCUGUGGUAGAAGGAGCAAUGAAUGGAGUUUUACAUGCCGCUAUACACGAAGUGCUAUCAGAAAUUUUGUUUUUUGAAGUUGAGAUAUGUGUGAUGCGAGAUUGAGGUUUUGAUGUGAUACUUGAAUUGCUAUGUAGGUAUCUAAGCCUGGGGAUUGAAGGAUUAAUCAACAGAUGUUGUAUGGUGUAUCACAAGUUUGUCUAGUUUUUAACGUAUCGGAAAGUAGAAGUUACUGUUGAAUAAUGUAUAAAGAUUUUGUAAAUAUCUAUCUAUUAUGAAAUGUAAAACUUUUGCGUUCUAGUUUCACCUUUCAACCAUGCGUACAAAAUGUACCAUACGUUUAACUUUUGUACUAUUUCUCCUUUGUGCCUAAAAAAAUACCAUACUAUAUUUGGUGCAAUUAUUUUCAUUUGCAACCACUCUUUGGAGCAACAAAAGUAAAGAGUUUUCAGUUCUUAACAAUCGUUAAGUGCAAAGAACUUGUAGAUUUAUGUAUUGCUUUUCUAUCUCCGAAUUUGCUCCCUUCUAGUCAAAUCCUAGCUCUACCACUUAAGUGUAAUGAGAAUUUGGCUAAAUGUAACCUAGAAAUGUAAUAUAAUAUUGCACCACAAAAGUAGCAUGACUCUUCUGAAGUUAGUUUUUCCGAUUCAUAAUCUGUCCUACAUUUUACCAUACAACAAUAGAAUAUGUCAUUGUGUUACAGUUUCUGAAACUAUUGCUCUAAUGAAAAUUUUUAGAAAUUCUUUGUUACAACGAUAGUUUCAAGGAAAGGACAGGAUAGAGAGUCCUUGUUUUCCUUUUGCUUAUUGUAAAUAAAGCUCUAGUCAAUUCCAAUAUAUUUUUGUAUCUUCUUCAAAGAAAUAACUCCAUGAUCUUUGUGCCAAAUUCACAAUUUCUAAGUAUUAGGUGAAGUAAUUGUCUCCCGAAAGAUGUAUUUUAUACUUCAAUUAAAACAUAUUAAAAUUGAUAGAGUAUGACCCAUUUGUUAAAAAAUGGUUGUGAAGAAUUGGUUUAACAAUGCUUUCCGAAACCAACUUCUAGGAUAAAGCCAAACUCAACUAUAUGCAGAAGUCAAAAUUAAACCAAUUAAUAUGUUUUAAAUUACAGUUUUUUAAAAGCAACAAUCAGCUAGAGUUGACUUUCUAAAGAAUGUAGGAGAUUAUCUCAUUAAAGCAGUGGUACCACCUCCAACUCUUUCUUCAUCCAUGCCUAUUUAUUAAAAAAUUAAAAAAAACGUUUAAUAUCUAGGUCUUGGUUGGCUGGGUUUUGUAUCCUAAACUAUGUGUUAGUAUCUUUCUCACUAUGGACUAUAUUCUGACCAUUUCUGUUGUUGUACAAAUGUAAUUCUAUGUAUUCGAUCCACCAGUGUGGAUUGAGCUGAUUAUAAUCUUGUACUCUUUUCAAAAAAAUAAAUAAGUGAAUAUGAAAUUCUUAAAUUAUGUAGAAUGCAAUAGAUAAAUUUCGCUCAGAUCUCAACAUUAAUUUGUAGGCAAGAAGUCCUAUCCUCGUCACCUGCUUUCAUCUUCAUUUUUACAAGAUCCUUACCCGAAGUCAAAAUAUUUGGUGGUAUAUCGUUCUCAUUACGUUACCAGAAAGAGUUGAAUAAAAACUUGAGUGAAGAUAACUAAUUGUUUAAAAUAAAUUCAAUAGGAAACCAAGCUUGCAAUCAAUAAUUGGUGAAUAAUAAUGAGAUACAAAUUCUACCACAUACAAUCGGCAUAUUGAAAUUGAGACCACGAAAAAGUUGUACCUAAGAAAGUCAACUUGUUCGACUUGAUUUGAGGUAAUGGUGGUGAAGAGAAGGGGGUUGUAAUAGGCUUCUUCUUGUAUUAUAUUAAAGCAAAAAACGCUACUUCCCCACAUAAGGUAAAAAGCUAUAAAAUCUCUCUCUCUUUUUUUUUUUUUUUUUUUUUGUGACUCCUUAGAGUUUAUGUGUUUUACUUACUCCUUUAGUAGUUUUAUUUGAUAUGUUAAUAAAAAAUGGAAACGAUAAGUUGUUCGGAGGUAGGGUAUCAACAAGCUCAAAUUAGACUAAUGCUAUAUGUUCAAAGUCUAGUCUGAAUUUCUCAAUAAUUUUUAUAUUUUUCUUUUGUACAUGGUUUUGGUUACCAUUUUAGCCAAGCUCUUUGGGAUUUCAAAAAAUCAAAGUGAGGUUGAGUUCAAGUAAUUUAAUUUACAUGUAUGUAAAAUUUAGAUUUUUUGAUUUACAAAAUGAAUGCGAGAUGAGUUAAAGAUUAAAGUAAUAUUAGAUUUAGUUUUAACUUGGUUUUCUUCAUUAAUAAACCAAUCUUGAACGAGCUAUUGUCCAGUCAAGCUCAUAUUCCCUUCCCUUAAGGGGAAAAUUCUUUAAUACCGAUCUUUGUGUCAUUUGAGAAAACCAUAUAGUUUUUUUUAGACUAUUAAUUUAGCCGGUUUUAGUUUCUUAAAAUGGGGUUGUAUGUUUAGGAUUUUCAUUUGUUGUGUUUAUCUGCAUACUAGGUAUAGGGAUGGCGAUUGGGACAAGUGCUCGUAAGGAGUUGGUGGGGCGGGGGGUAAUUUUCACUCCCUGUCAAAAAAAGCGGAGGGGGACAGAGGGUAUACCCCUACCCCAUCGCCCACUCCUCUCUCUCCUUGAAAUAAAUAAAUAAAUAAGUAAAUAAAUAAAUAUGUGUAUAUUAUAAAUACAUGUAUAACAUAUUUAAUAUUGAUAGUUAUAAUAAUUAUAUUUUUAGUUAUACUAAUAAUUAUAUAUUUAUACUAAUAUAAAUCAUUGAUUAAGUAUACUAAUACAUUUAUACUAAAUUAAUAAUUACAUUUUUUACUAAUUAUACGUUUAUAUUAAAUUACUAAUUGCAUUUUUUAUUAAUUAUAUAUUUUUUAUUCAUUAUAAACUCUUGGGCAAAAAAUCGCGGUGGUUCUCAAACUUCCAACUUUGCACACUUUUAGUCCUCCAACUAAUAAGUGCGUAAAUGUAGUCCUUCAAUUAAUAAAAAUGUGUAGUCAUAGUCCUUCCGUCUAAUUUGACUGUUAAGAUGGACGGGAAGAUACAAAAAUAAUACAAAAAAUAAAGGGCUAAUUUCAAAAAUCUCCCUUGAGGUUUUUAACAAUUUCAUUUAGCUCCCUUGAUGUUUUAAAAAUUACACGUACCUCCCUUAUCGUUUAAAAUGACAAUACUACCCUUGAAUAUUUAAUGAAAUUUCCUUGUUUGGUAUGUUUAUAUUUAGAAUGACUUUUAAAAUUACUUUUUAUUCUUUUUCCUUCUUAUUCCUUUUUUUUUAAAAUUUUUGCCAAUAAAACUAUAAAACUAUCACUAUUAUCUCUAGUUUCUAUUGCAAUCAAAUGUCCAAUUAGUGAUUUUUUUUGACGAGUUAACUUUAUAUGCAAUCCAAUGUUUUUGCUAAUCUUUAUUUUUUAUUUUUUGGUAUUAAAAUUAACAAUAAAUCAAAAGAAAAUGGUCCAAAAUCACUAUUAAAUUAUGAUAAUCCAACUAUUCGAAAAAUUCAUAAACACUAAAUGAAUUAUUUCAACAUUUUCUUUUCUAUCUAAUAAAUUUAAAUCCAUAAUAAAAUACCAUCAAAAGUAUCCUAUCAUAAUGAUAAAAUUAUUAUUAUUGCCGUUUAUCAAUAAUAGGUACGAAUAUGAAAAUUUUGGCACAUUUUAUUAUAGUUAUACUAGAUAAUCUUAUAAUUGUAUAGCGAAAUAAAUUAAAACUCAUUGCACAAGGGUAUUUUUGGAAAUUCAUUUAAAAAUUUGACCAAAUCAAUAUUAUUUUAAGAUUUUGUUACUAAAACUAUCAAAUCAAGGGAAGUAGGUAUAAUUUUCCAAAAAUCAAGGGAGCUGAGUGAAAUUUUUAGAAACCUCUAGGGAGUUUUUUGUAAUUAUCCCAAAAAUAAAUGUCAUGUGAACAAUGUGUGAUGUGUUUCCCAUCUGUCUUAACAGUUAAAUUGGACGGAAGGACUACAACUACACAUUUUUAUUAAUUAGAGGACUAUAUUUACGUACUUAUUAGUUGGAGGACUAAAAGUGCGCAAAGUAGAAAGUUUGAGAACCACCGCGAUUUUUUGCCAUAAACUCUUUUCCCUUGAGCAGGGUGCCGGGGGGGGGGGGCGGGGGAUGUUUAGGCAAUGGUAAUCUAGGUUUUUUUAUGUAUACUAUCAAUUUAUAGGCAAAUUUUACAACAACAUUAUUUUUAUUAACAAUUUGAGUGGCAUUUUUUCUGCAUCUACAACAUAUUAGAUUCAUGAAAACUCAUGAUCAAUACUUCAUGUGAAAUGUUUAAUUAGGUUCGCUAGUAUAGAUGUAAUGUUGACGUGAUUUUUUUAGUUAUUCUUUUCUACGAAAUGAUAAUUCUCAAAAAAUAAUUUUUUAAGAAUUUUUGAGCAGUAAUUUUUUUAGACCCGUUUGUAUUUUCAAAUAGCACAAGAGUACUAGCACUUAACAUGCAACAUACUACACGGGAUAAUAUAUUUUAAGUCAUUGAUUUUAGCAGUUCAAUAACUAGUACCUAUAAAACGGGAUAUUUUUAGAAUAAAUUUUAUAUACACUGACAGUGCAUAUACUAUCAUCGUUGGAUCCAUAACACGUGCAAAAAUUGAAUUUCAAGUUCAAAUUUUGCAUCGUUGUCAUUUAUCAAGUGUAGGAAAAAUUAAUCCUAUCUUUUAAAGAUAGAUUUUAUAUACACUAACAAUGUCCACAUUAUCAUUGUUAGAUUUAUGAUACAUGUGCAAAAGUUGGAUUUCAAAUUCAAAUUUUGCAUAGUUGUUAUUCAUUCAAAAUUGACGGUAUAUACACUGUUAGUGUAGAAAAGAUUAAUCCAUCUUUUAAUAUUUGAAACAUUCAUUACUAACAAAAGAUGCCAAAAAAAAUUAAACACUAACAAUAUAUACACUAUCACUGUUAAUGUAUAUCAAGAGGCUAUACUGUACUUGUGCAAUACCAUAAUUGUACUAUCUGUAACCGUGGAGUAUACUACAUGGAAAUGGUUUGAAACUUUUUUACUUGAUAAUAAGAAAUUACCUAGCUAAAAGAUCUCUUUACAUUGCUGAAUGGUUUUAUUACAAUUUAACAGGGAAGUUACUAGUGCAGAUAAUAAUUUUUCAUUUCUAGAUUUGGCAAUUCAAUUUUUUGCAAUAUUGAAAGUUAAGAACCUCUCUAAAUUUCAAAAUUUUUAACAAGUUGCAUUAAGGGAAAAAAAAAAGCUAGAGAACCUUUGGAAUUGGUAAUUUAUAACAUACCUUAUAAAUAGCCAACGGUAUUCUCCCCAAGUUUGGUAUCUUUCACUCCUAAAUUGGAAGGUGAUAUAACUAUGGUAACUUCUUCAAUUAAAAUGUGUUGCUCUUGUUCAAACUUGUUUUCCUUAUUGGUAAACUAACUUCAAACAGGCUAUUGUGCAGUCAAGCUCAAUUUUAGUAUCUACAAAUUUGCUUCCUCUUUCGCUCCUAAAUUUGGGGGUGAUAUUAACUUUGGUAACUUCAACUCUUCAAUUAACAUGUCUUGCUCUAUAAAUAAGUUAUAAUAAUUGUUAAUAUUUUCGAAUUUUGAGUUGUUAAAUUUUAUCAAAUUUAUCUUCUCUCUGCAGAAAUCAACAUCACUCACACGACGGCCCCUGUCCAGUAAAUUACCACAUUAAGUUCAAUCGCAUGGCUGUUGACAUGUUUGUUUUCUUUCUCUGUGUGUUUUUUUUAUCAUUUGAAUUAAUCUUUAUUCAGUUAUAUGUGAUUUUUUAUGUUUCGUUUUACAAUGAUACAUACAGCGUUGAGGGAGCAGAGUUGGGGCAAAGGCACAAACAAUGGACUGAGGUGCUUUCUUCAGAGCCUAGGGCUUCCAUUUUUCACAAUUUUUUGGUACUAUUUCUUUUCUUUAUUUUCUGGGGCACGACCUUUUUCUGUCUCAAAUUAAUUGAAAAUAGUAUGCUGAAAUAUAAAGUGAGCUUUAACUCCCUGUUUGAUUGUUAUUUGUUUUUUGUUAACUCUUGUUGCGAUGAUAAUGUAAUUAAUAUCAAUUUAUUAGUAUAAUUGACUUCAAAGAAAAGAUCUUAAUUUAGGUUUGUUCAAUAUUCCCCACUAGUCGAGGCACAAGUAGUUUUAUACUUAUGUAACGAAAAUUUCUUGAGUAUGUUCAUUGGUGCUGGCAUUUCUUAAUUUCGUCCAUUUUUUGCUCCUCCAGGGCCCUACGAUAAAAGCAUCAUAAUCAGAACUAUAGAACCAUUAAUCUACAACCCAAAAUUAACCUGUUUUCUCAAUCAAUAGAUAAUCUUAUUAUAACCGUCACUUUAACCUUUUGGUGCGAUAGUGCAAUUCCUUUCUUGAAGAAAUUAAUGCAAAUUAUUAUUUUUAAAAACUAUUCCUUAUCAUCACCAGAACAAAAAGUUAUCAGGAUUGUGGUUUUCCAUGUACUAUACUUUUUUGAGGGAAAUACUUUAAAGCCUAAAUUCUGAGAAUUAUUUGGUGUAUUCAUUUUCUGUAAUUAUUUGGUAUAUAAGAGAAAACCUGCUAUAAUAAAAUUAUGAAUUGGGUUUCUUUUUCAAGUGCAUUGACCCUGUUUGCAAUUUAACAGUCUAAGGAAGAAUGUGAAUAUCUUAUAAAUCUAGCUAAACCUCGUAUGUCGAGAUCAAAAGUGCUAGACCCAAAUACUGGUCAGACUGGACAUAGCAGGUUUGUAAUGCCAAAAUUUUCCUUAAUGUCUUACACAUUCACUUUCAAUGCUCAUUUGAUCCUGUGGUUUUCUUUUUGUCCUUUUUUUCCCCUAAUGACAGAUUCAUUUUAUUCAAGUUUCUUCACUUUUUGCAAAAUUUUGGAGUACUGCAUAUGAAAUGUUUCAAAUAAAGUUAAAUCUCAUUCAAGAAAUUUCUCAACAGAGAGAGACAAUUAAAAAUUUUUACUUUUGAAUGUAAAGUUUGGCUAGUUCUUAUUCUUCGAUUUUUUUAAUUUCAGAAUUGCUUGCUUCAACAAUUUCUCCAAUUUUCAGAAUUUCUUGCUAUGGUAUCGUAGUAAUCAUGUCUUAUGGCAGCUCGCGCACAAGUACUGGCAUGCAUUUGAAAAGGGGUCAUGAUGAAGUCGUUAGGGACAUUGAGAGAAGGAUAGCAGAUUACACAUCAAUUCCUGUGGGUAUGAAUACCUAUUUCUAAACCUUGGCUAGAUAGCUACAAUUCCUUGCUGCUAGUUUAACAAAACAUAUCUCUCUGUCUUCUCUUUCUACACACACACAUACAUACAUACAAUAUUAUCUUUUAGGUAUGCUCAAGUCUCGAUGGAAUUAGUAUUAUACAAGGCAUAGAUGGUUUAAUAAAAACAUAGUAACAGUAGUUUGGAUAGUUGUUUUUUGGGGUUUUGUUUUCUUAAGAAAACGCUUGGUUUAUUUGGAAAUCAAUUUUGUGGAAAAACAUUUCCGUAUUACUCCUUACAAACAUUUUUCAGCCAAUUUUUUUUUUUAUCUUUUCAACUAUCUUUUUUUACCACAUAUAUCUAUCAGUAAUCAAUUUCAAAAGAAUUACCAAAUAAUCUUCAAUCCAAAAACAUAUUUAUCCUAUAGCAACUUUUAGGGUAAAUGUGUUCAUAAAACAAAAAUAUUUGGUAACCCUAACAUGUUUGUAAUUUCCUAAAACUUUGUUAUCAAAAAACAACAAAACCUAGUAUUUUGAGGUUACUCUGAGUCUUCUUUUGUAUAUUUACUUCCACAUGCACUACAUAGUGUGAAAUUAAGGAAUUUUGAUCUUUAGUCUGAACAUUCUAUAUGAGAUUCCUUUCUCUAUUUUAUUUUAUUUUUGGCUGGUUAAGGGUUUCCGACUGAGCUAAACUUUUUACAGAGAAUGGAGAAGGUCUUUCCGUUAUCAAUUAUGAAGUCGGACAAAAGUUCGAGCCUCACCACGAUGUCCACCGUAUGGCUACUCUUUUGAUGUAUCUGUAAGUUAUGCAAGUAUUUUUGUUCACGAGUUGGAUUAUCUAAUUAUAUAUCUUUAUAAAAGAUCAUAGUCUAAUAACUAAGGUUGAAAUAUGAAGAAUUCGAGUUCCUAAGUUUAAAUUCCACCUCUCCCAAGUUCAAUUUAAAAAAAAAAAAAAAAACUUUUCACUGCCUUUGAUCGAUAAAAUGUUUGCAUUCGUUUUCUGUCACACUUGCAUGUGCAGAUCAGAUGUUGAAGAAGGCGGAGAGACGUAUUUUCCCGAUGCUAUCGCUAAGAGGAAGUGUUGCUGUUUUCCAGGAUGCACAAAAAGAAGGGGGCUUUAUGUGAAACCAAAAAUGGGGGAUGCAUUGUUUUUCUGGACCUUGAAGCCUGAUCGAACUACUGUGGAUCCAUCAAGCUUACAUGGUAAGCAUGCCCCUUCACAUUACAUGCCUUUCCACUGAAUUUCCCCUACCUCUUUACCAGUUCUCUCCCUCUUUUGUGAUUGAUCUGGCCAAUACAUAACUAGUAAUGCUAUUGGAUGGAGAACUUUCUAUGGGAAUACUAACGUUUGUGAGAUGGUGCAUGUGAAUCAUAAUCCACAACAGUGAUGAAUCUACUUAUCGGUUAAUAGGGGAAUGUGUCUCCAGUGAGGAAAGGAAAAUUUUUAUUCUAGUCAUAGAAUUAAUAGUUAAAAAAAAAAACCUUAUUGUUGCCCUACUAAUUUAUCAAUGUGCCCUUAUAGACCAAAAUAAAAUAUGGGUGUUAAAAAAAUAUUACUUUUUUCCUGGAUAAUUUGUAGAAAUCCAAUAAUAACUUGUACGUAUGAGCACUUUGAUAAAAUUUUUGAUAAAAAAAUGAUUACUACAAGCACAAACUCAAUAGUUUGGGGAGUUUAUUUUAUUUUAUUUUUUGAAGUUUGUGUAUACACUAAUAAAAAGGUGCUUUAAUGAGUUAAUUCUGAGCUUUAGACGAUUAUUUGCAUCAUCUGUUUUAUUUUUUUUAAAUUUUGUAUGUUGAUACUUGCUAUCACUUUAAUUUUGCAUAGAAGCCCCCUCAGAGAUGUAAACUUCUACUCCCUCCGUCCCAUUCAUUUGGUUAUACUUUUCAUUUUGGGAUUCCCAUUCAUUUGGUCAUGUUAGAAAAGUCAAAACAACUUUUACAUUCUCUUUUUAAUAUAACCUUUUUUUUUAAUCACACAUUCAAAUUUAAAAUUUGAAUUUGAGGGGGUAAAAUUGGAAAGAGAAGUACAAAUAUCACAAUCAACCACUAUUCUUAAAAAGUUGGAUUCCCCAAACAUAACCAAAUGAAUGGGACGGAGGGAGUAUUAAAGUCUGUACUCAACCAAUGGAAAAGAUACCCUGUAUCAAGUCAUAAUGUCAGUUGGAAAAUAUUUGCUCUCUUACAUACUCCCUCCCUUUUUUUAUAACUGACGUUUAAGGUUUUGCACACCAAUUAAGAAAAGUUUUUCAUUGUUUAAAUCUAUACACUACUUUCCUUUUAUACCCUCAUUAAUUGUCUAAUUCACUCAUGUUUUCUCUCACUAGAGUAUUAAAUGGUGCUGUUUUACUAGGCCAAAAGCAAAGAGAGAAGUAAUAAUUACUAGGAGUAUUAAUUAAGAGCCCUGUAUUGGUAAAGAGAGAUAAAAGGGUAAAAUUGUGAAAAAAUAAUUAAUGUUGCAUGGGGAUAAUACAACGACAGAUAAAAGUACUUAAGAGCAAAUUUCUUAAACGUCAGUUAUAAAAAAAAGGAGGGAGUAUAUGUCAUUCUUCAUUUAUGCGCUUACCCAAAUUCACUGCUCCAGAGUACAGAGAAUUAUGAUUCUAUUUGUGGUUACUACAGGUGGUCGCCCAGUGAUCAGAGGUGAUAAGUGGGCAUGUAUCAAGUGGAUGCAUGCUGAAGAAUUCAAAGCCUCCAAGAGUUAUACUCGACAUAGUUAAGCAAGAUUACAAACCCAAGUCGAUUCUGCAGCUGGUAAUUCAACCAGUAAAAUGCCACGCCAUUUAGUAUUUGCUUAAACGAGAAGUUAUUUUCUUUGGUUGCAGCUGAGAACUUAAAGUAUUGGACUGUUAGAAAUUUUUAACAUAUUGGUAAAUAUGUCGAAGUUAGGUUGGUUUCACUUUGGCUUAAUGUUUCAUUUUCCCUCCCCUUUUGCUGAAUAACAACAUGGAGUCUUGUGCCCGUUACAAAAUCGAGAUGAAGCGAAUGAAUGAAACAUACCUUGGGUUAAUUUUUUUUUUUCCUAAUUCUUAAUGUAUUACUUUUCUCUAUUAAUCUUUUCCUUUAUUUUCCUUUGAUCUGUUCUCUAAAGAUUUGAUUUCUUUGAAUCAGCCGAGUUCGGUUUGAUGAAUUGAUGACUGAAUCCUCCCCAAGUCUUGUUCUUAUGUGUAAACUAAUUGCUUCCACAGUCAUUUUUGUGGAAGUAUUACAAUUAAACCUGAUCUAGAUAACAAAAUUUCGUGCUCCUUUUUGUUUCUAGAUAUAUAUCAGAAGAACGAGAAAGUUAGGCUCGUUACAGAUCGGUCGCCAUGAAUUACAUUGUGUAAAUUACACUUUAUCCCUUAUGGUUUAACGCCUUUUUCACAUAACCCCCUAUAAUUUCAAAAUUUAUGCAUGACUUCCUAAUUACUUUGAUUAAAGUGUCAGAAUUUACAUUCUUUAAUGAAAUCAACUAAAAUGUCAAAGAUACCCCUAUGUAAAGUUGAAAAUAAUUUAUUAAUUAAAGGGAAUUAUGAAUAUAUUUUGAAAAUUAUAAGGGGUUUAUUUGGUAAAGUACUAAAUCAUAAAGGGGUUAUAUAGUAAAAUACUAAAUCAUAAGGGAUUAAAGUGUCAUGCAUAUUACGUUAAUAUAUUUUGAUCACUUUAGCUAUUUUAGUUUUUAGAUAAGAGUAAUUUCGACAUUUUUGUGGGUUCCAUGACAGCGAAUUAUUUUCGUUACUUUGAUAUUUUAAUCAAAACUAUGAGAAGAUUAUAAAUAACUUUUGAAACUACUAGGGAGUUACGUGAAAAAUCGCUAAAUCAUAUGGUGUCAAAGUGUAUUAGAAUCAUUGGAAUAAGAGUUCGAGUCAUUCCCACAAAAGGCUUGUGCAAUAUAUUAGAUGGACGCGCAUCAUUCUUAGAGUCCUUAAUCAGCUUAUCUUUUGCUUUGUAGUUGAGUAAAUUGGUUGCACUAUUAAUACUGAUAUUUGUGAUUUUCACAGCAGUUCUUUGUAUAACUUCACAGGACUAAUUCAUAUGCAAAGCAAAUGCUAGUUUUUUUUUUUUUAAAAAAAAUGUUUUCCUAGCGAAGGAGUGGUGGAAUUUAAAAAGUGGGGACGGAAUAAGGGCAUUAGAACUCACAUCCUCUAGUUCCUGAGACCUAAAGCAAAUACUGGCUUAAUGUAACUAAUAUAUACUUUGGUCUAUUUACAACUACUUGAGUUGUAUGUUUGUGGUUUACUUUUAUACGGAUUUUGGCAAAUUUUAAACUGUCCAUGGGUACCCUCACGCCUUGGCUUGAGGCGUAGUAACUAGUUAAUAGAUAAAAAAAUGUUCUAGAUUCUUGUACGAUAACUUUUUGUAUCUUCUUACAAAAGAAUAACUCCUUGAUCGAUCUAUAUGCCAAGUACAUAAAAUCCAUCUUUUAGGUAAAAUCAAAUAUAUAUUUUACAACUUUAAUUUAAUCAUAGCAAAUAUGUAUACUAAAAUUGAUAGAAAAUGAACCAAUAGUAAAAAAAAAUGAAGAAUUAAAUUGAAAAAAAGUUGUUUCAAAGCAACUUCUAAGGAUAAAAUGAAAAUCAACUAAAUGCAGGAGUCAUAAUUAAUGAACCAACGUGUCUUAAAUUACAGUGUUUUGGAAAGCUAUAAUCGUCUGGAUUUAACUUCUAAGGAACGUGGAAUUUAUCUUAUCGAAGCAAUGGAACCACCUCCGACUCUUCUUAAGCUUAAUGCCCUGGCUUAUGUAUUAGAAAAAAAAAAAAAAGAAAAAAAUAGUUCAGUAUCCAGCCUUUGGCAGGUUGGGUUGUGCACUCUCUAAACUAUAUGAUAAUAUUUCUCCCUCCAUGCGUGGUCUAUACCAUUUUGGGGUUAAACUGAAAUAUUGCGCAAAUGUAAUUCAUAUGUAUAUGAUUACGCUAAUGUGGGUAUCUUUUGUCUUAUCAAUACAUAGAUAAAUACGUAUGAUAUAUUUGAGUAUAGAACUCUACGUAUGUGGAUAAGAAAUGGUUGUUGUCACGUAUUCUUCUUUCUUACCCAAAGCCUUAAAGUCAAAAAAGGUUUGUGGUAUAUCGUUCUCAUUACUUCAACAUAAAUACUUGAAAAAAAAUUUAAAGGAAGAUAAUUAACCGUGUAAAAUAAAAUUCAAUAGGAAUUCAUGCUUGUUAUUUGCACAUAUGGUACUGAAAUUUCAAACUUCCCCACGUAUAAUCGGAAUAUGAAAUUUGAUACCAUGCAAAAAUUUGUACAGAAUGCUACCUUUUGGCCUUGAUUUGAGUUGACAGUUGUAUCAAUGGUUGCCAGGAGGCGUGGCGAUGGUUCCUUUGUUUGGUUUUGGGGGGGGGGGGGGGGGGAGGAGGUGUUUGGAGGGAAAUUUAAGGAAAGGGAUGUUGUACUAGGCUUAUAAAAGGUCGUAAGAUAGCGUGUCUGUAGUUUCCUUAUAAAAGGAUGUUUUCUAUAUAUAUAUAUAUAUAUAUAUAUAUAUAUAUAUAUAUAUAUAUAUAUAUAAAUAUAUAAAGAAACAGCUAAACCUAGUAUUUUGAGGUCAGUCUGAAUCUUCUAUUGCACAUUACCUCGACAUGCACUACAUAAUGUGAACAUGAAGGAACUUUGAGGUUUAGUCUUCAAUCUCCCAUAGGUGGUUACUGGUUUCUACUGAGCUAAACUGUUUCUUUUACAGAGAACGGAGGAGGUCUUUCUGUUAUCCAUUAUGAAGUUGGACAAAAGUUCGAGCCUCACUCACCACGAUGGCUAUGGCCGUAUGGCUACUGUUUUGAUCUAUCUGUAAGUCAUAUACCUAUCUUCGUUGACAAGUUGGAUCAUCCAGUUAUAUAGUUAUGAAAACUUCGUUCCACCUUUGAUCAAGUAAAAUAAUUUGCGUUCGUUUUCUGUCACACUUCCAUGCGUAGAUCAGAUGUUGAAGAAGGUGGAGAGACAUAUUUCCCUAAUGCUCGGGGGAAGUUUAGCCGUUCGAGGAUUCAGAUUGAGAAGGGGGCUUUAUGUGAAACCAAAGAUGCGGCAUGCACUGUUUUUCUGGACCUUAAAGCAUGAUCUUACCACUGUGGAUCCAUCAAGCUUGCAUGGUAAACCUGUUUUCCCACUCAAUAUUCCCCAUUUCUUUCCAUGUUUCUGACUCUCUUGUGUCUAAUGCUGACUCUUGUCAAUACACUAGUAGUGUUAUUGGGUGGAGAACUUUCUAGAGAAAUUUCUAAUAUUAUGAUGAUUUUUUAAAAAAUUCUACAAAGGGAUGUUCGUAUUCUGUAAAAGGGAUGUUCGCAUUUUGCAAAUGCGAGUUCAUUGAGAUCGCAUUUGCCGAAUGCGAAUUCUCCGUGAAUUUUCCAGCCACCAAAUUCCAAAAAAAAAAAAGAAAAAGAAAGAAGACCUUGCAUUCAAGGAAUGCGAGGUCAUAUUUCUCGAACCAGAUUCCAUAUUUUGCCAUAACUUUUAUUUUUGCUUCUGUUGUAAUGCCAUUUACUCAAUAUAAAUGAUUUCACUGCAAAUUAUAAAAUGAUUUACAAUUUGCAAUGAAAGUGUCUACAAAUUGUAGCGGUUAAGGCUCUAAAUUAAUGGGGUUUGGAAAAAAAAAUCCCAUAAUAUUGCCAUCAAUACUUGAUAAUAAUUUGGGGCAAUAAAUGUUAACCGAACUAGUAGGCUUUUGGCUUUACUGUAAAUUAGCUCCGAUAAAUGCGAAUUCCUAGAAAAUUAUAUUCAAAUUUUGCUUUUUUUUUAAUUAGGAGGACACACUAAUUUUUGUUUUUUCAUUGACAUUUAUCAUAGAGGAAUAAAUCCUUUUUAUUUGAAAACUCACACGAGUUAGAAGUUAGCAAAUGUGACCUCUCAGUUUAAAAUUUUGUGUACUAGUAAUUCUUUGUAUAUAAAUAACAAAAAAGUUAUAUUUCUUAUAGAUUAAAAGAUUUGAUAAUUAUACGGCCACAAACACCUAAUUUUAUUAUUAAAAAAUUUUGUAUUAAAAAAAAAAAGAAAAGUUACUCAACAUAUUAAGAGUUCUGAAAACACCUGAUUACGAAAACACUUAUAAUAAAAAAGAAAAUAUAUUACAUACCACAUAAAAAAGAAAACAUAUUAUUAAGAGUUCGUAGUUACUCAACAAAAAAGAAAACACCUGAUUAAGAGUUCGUAGUUACUGAACUACUUAUAAUAAAGGGUUAAUCGCACUUUAUCCCCUUUAAGUAUAAGCCAUUUCUCACUUUACUCCCUAAUGUUUGUUUUUCCUUAGUUUACCCCCUCCGUCAGCAAUUGCACCGUUAAAAACUUCAAGAUUUCGAAAUUGCCAUACGAAAAGGGCUGUUGGUUUUAGCUGACAAAAAUGCCCCUUAAUGGUGUCUGAUGCUUUUAGCCUAUUUUUUCCCUCAAAGAGCCGUUGGUUGGGUUCUGUAAAAGUUGGUAUUUUGCAGCCAAUUUUUCUCAUACAAUUUAGCAAAUUCCAAAGUUCCUAAAAUUUCUCUCCAAAGUUCCUAAAAUUUCUCUUUGUCAACCAAAAGCAUCAUAAAAUGUCACAAAGUGCUUCAAAUAAUAUUGAAAGAUCACCUCAAAAAAUGUGUGGAUAUGGUAAAGAGGCACCAUUGUGCACCUCUUGGACACUUGAAAAUCCGGGAAGAAGAUUUUACGGCUGCUCAAAUUACAAUGUAAAAAUUUUUCAUUAAUAAUUUGUUAAUAUUGUCUUUAAUUUGGCUCUAUACCUGAAUAAGUUAGAAAGAGUUUAAACAACUUUUUUUUUUAUUUAGAACUGACAUGCAUGUGGGCACUUUUCAUGGGUAGAUCCUGAAGUUUGUAGCAAAACAAAAGAAGUAAGUGCAGUGCUGCAAUCUAGACUGGUGGAGCAAAAGGAGAAACUAAUGUACUUGCAAAGGGAGCAUGAAAAAUUGGCAAAUGAGCAUGAAAAAAUUGAAAAGCAGAUAUGAAGCCUUAGUAACAGGGAUGUUGUUGCGAUAUAUUUAUUAGUCAAAGAAGAGGUGUGGAAAGGUGGGGGAAUAGGAGGUGUAAGUGAUUGUGGCCACAAAUGGAAGGGAAAAUGUGUUGGAUGGGCACGUGUAAAGGUCUUUUGUGACCUAGAACCUGAAGACCUGUUGGACGUUGCAGUUAAGCAGAAAGGGGAUAGGAAAAGUUGAGGAGAUUCCAACCGUAAAUAUGAAAUGUGGGGCUCUUUUAUUCAACAACGGGUUUAUUUUUAUGUUAUCCAAUAAAUACAUUAGAAUUUAAGGAAAAUGGGCACCGUGUGAGUAUAAUGAAUGAAAGUCAUAAAGAACUGGUAUUUUAUUCAACAACGGGUUUAAAUUUAUUUUUAACCGACAAGUAAAUUUCUAUUUAAGGCACCUUGGAUACUGUGUGAGCAUAAUGGAUGAAAGGCAUAAAGAGCUGGUCUUUUAUUCAACAACGGGUUUAUUUUUAUUUUAUUCAAUAAAUAAAUUUCUAUUUAAGGCACCUUGGGUACUAUGUUGUUAUAAUGGAGGAAAGGCAUAAAGAACUUGUUUUUUAUUCAACAACGAGUUAAUUUUUAUUAUGUCCGAUAACUAAAUUUUUUUUUAAGAAAAAUGGGUACUCUAUUCUUAUAAUGAACGAAAGCUUUGAAAGUGGGGCUCUAUUAUUCAAUAACGGGUUUAUUUUUAUGUUAUCCGACAAAUAAAUUAGUAUUUAAGGAAAAUAUGUACUCUGUGAGUAUAAUGGAUGAAAGUAGGGGUGGCAAUCGGGUCGGCUUCGGGUUGACGGGUCGGGUUGAUGCUUAAGUAUAACAAAGAACCUGCUGACCCGAACCCGACCCGCCAACCCGAAACGGGGCAGGGUACCUGACACGAACCCGAAAAUUUCGGGUUGGCGGAUUGGCGGGUCGACCCGAAAUGACCCGAAACUUAAUUUUAAUUUAUUAAUUUAUCACUGUAAUUUUUAAUAAAAUUAAUUUUUCACAAAAUUAAUUACAUCAUCAAGUAAUAAAAAUUUAAAUAAAUAAUUUCAAACCAAAUCUAAAAUAAAUUAAACACCAUAAAAGUGUUUUAUCCCAAACCAAAUAUAAAAUAAAUUAAAACAGCAUAAAAGUAAAAAAUAACAUAAUAUAUUAUUUGUCCAAAUAUAAUAAUUUUAACUUCACACAAGUUAAAUAAAUUCAUUUAGGAUUAAGUAAUUAAUGCCUUUGGAAAAAAAAUGAUUUAGUUUAGUUAGAUAAAAUAAUUUUUAUGUUUAUUAAAUUAGUUUUAAUUCAUAAACGAGUCACAUCGGGUCAUAUCAGGUCACCACGGGUUGACCCGAAGUUGACCUGUUUUCUUUUCGGGUUCAUCGGAUUCGACCCGAUUCUGACCCGAACUCUCGAAAUCUCAACCCAAACCCAUUAAUUUCGUGUUAGGUUCGUGUCGUGUUUUCGGGUCGUGUCAGGAAUUGCCACCCCUAGAUGAAAGUCAUAAAAAGCUGGUCUUUUAUUCAACAAAAGGUAUAUAAAGAGCUGGUCUUUUUUUUUUUUGUCCCGUGCCAGAUGGAGGGAAAUUUCCGUCUAUUAUUCCAGGGUAAUUUUGGAAACUUGCAUUUCAUAAACCAGCAUCUAUGGGUAUUUUGGGUUGUUCAGUAUUUUCAUAAGGAUAUUAUUGUCUUUUCAAUAUCCGUUUAUGUCCAUUAGAGUUGACUGUUAGUUUCUGGGGUAGGCUGAGAAAAAACAAACGUUGGGGGGUAAAGUGAGAAACGGCCUAUACUUAAAGGGGAUAAAUUGUGAUUAACCCUAUAAUAAAAGUAACAUAUUAUACCACAUAAAAAAGAAAAGUUAGCAAUUAUUAUUUGUAGUGAAAUAAAAAAUAAGAAUAAACAAUAAUAGUAGUUUAUUUUUUUGUUAUUGAUACUACUAAUAAUUGAUUAAUCAAUUUCUCCAUUUUGUUAUUAUAUAUUGAAAAAGUUCAAUUUCUUAAAUGACAUUGACUUCAACAUUUGGAAAAAAAAUCUUGUAUUCCAUAGAUUUUUUUUUAUAAAAUAUUGACAUACGAAAUUGCUCCAUGAACCAAAACCAACUAGAAAUAGUCUCUUCGUCGACAAUGGCAUAAGCUAUCGGAAUAAUCUGGUUGUUGGCAUCUUGCGUAACUGCAACAAGUAAUUUGCCUUUAUAUUCACCAUGCAAAUGAGUGUCAUCAACACAUAUAACCGGUCGACACAUGUGAAAUGCAUCAAUAGCCGGUCCAAAAGCCCAGAAGACAUACUUGAAUGUCUUCACUUGAUCCAUACUAUCAGAAUGGUGUAACCACCUGAUCACAGAUCCCUGAUUUGACUGCAUAAGUGCAUCAACAUAUUUUGGUAGUUCAGCAAAAUUGGAAUCCCAAGAACCAAAUACAAGUUCAAUAGCUUUACGUCUGCCGUACCAAGCAUUUUUAUAAGAAACAUCCACCUUCAGAACUUUCUUAACAUGACUUACUAUGUUCUUAACUUUAUACCCAGGAUCAUCUUCAAUACUAUGAACUAUGUGUUUAGCAAUAACCGCAGAUGUAAGGUUAGCAUUGCUAUUACUCAUCAAAUCACCUAGAUAAUUGUGGCCGCUCACCCAUUUGGUUAUUUGCCACAAUCCAUGUGUCUUUUUUUUCACUGCUCGGACACACCAGUCGCAUGGAGGAUGCGAUGAGUCGGCUGCAGUGGUACUGCUCCUUUCAAGUGUAGGUUUACAUUGGGCAACCCAGGUGUUACUCUUGCUCUCAACAACCCUGAACUCCCUAUUAUGAUUGAUAGACCACAUUUUAAUAGCCCUGCUAAGCUGUUAUUUGUUCUCAAAUCUCAUAUGGAGGCGUAUAUUAUUAUUCUCCUCACUGAAUGUCACAAUGCGCUCCAACUCACUUUCAUCAGUGAGUUGGUCGUCAUCAUCUAUGUUUCCAAGGUUAGAGAAGAAUUUCAAUUCUCGUGGAGCAUAUGAGAGGUUGCCAGAUGCAUCAAAGGGCUGUUAGUUCUUGAGAUCCUGGUGGACUCCACGUCGUUCAUUUUUGCCAUCUGAGUAACUGCUUGACACAUCUAUCGAUUCAGAUUCUUCUACAUCUUCUAUAUCAUGCUCCGAAUCAUCAUCUAGGAAUGUGUUACAGUGACUUGGACCAGCAGUGGAAUCGAAGCCAUAACAAGCAACAUGAUUCGGCGAUUCUGGAUCUCUAAAACUUUGAAUUGAGUCAAGGCCUUCAACAAAUUCAACAUCCAUCCUAAAACCUGAUGUGAGCCGUGGCUCUACCGAGUUCCUAACACAAUCCCCAUGUGGCAAUUGUGAUACCGACGUUGUCUCUGGUACUACUGUAUUAGAGUACGAUCGAAACCUUGUUGGAUCCAUGCAUGCAUGGACAAAUGACAUCAUCGGUCCAAGAUUGGUAGUUGGUGGAAUGAAUGUGCUACUGAAUCGAGGAUUUUGGACUAUUUCCUCCUUCUCAAUAUAAAGUUCGGCGAUGUAUGGGACAAUUUCAUUCCAUACAUCAUACAUGAUCUCCAGAGUUUCAUCAUCCACCACUGGGGAGACAUUAUAAGAGCUACGGCUACAAGGUUGGUGGAGAAAUAAAUUCAACUUGAACAGCUCUCUAUCGACCCCUAUAUAUUGAUAAAUUCUAUCCACCAGCUCAUCAUAGCCAAUUCUAUUCCGUAAUGAGAAUGUACGGUUGGAGGUACGAGGCAAGUAACAAAUUGACCCAUCCUCGUAGUGUAUUUUACCUUCCCAAUAAAGAGACACUCGCAGAGGUCUUUCUAUAGACAUAUGUGCGAAAACAAUCUCUAUUUUGGAAAAAAUAAAUUAGAAUUAGUAGUACAAGACUAUGUAACAAAUGACAAUCCCUACAUUUUUAGAAGUUAAAAAGGGGUACAAUGGACAAAUUUAUCAUUUUGCAUGUGCGUUUAAGGUACAAAUUAGUAAACAAAUGAUGUAGUUUGCAUAUUUGUCCUUUUUACUUUUUCCCAAAACAUUUCUCAUUUUUUCCGAAAACACUAACCUCGCAUUUGUCAAAUGCGAUGUCUAUGAACUCACAUUUCACAAAUACGAAGACCCUAAUGUUAGAACUAACUUCAAAAAUUGCCCCCCUUGUAGAAUAACUUUUUUUUCAUCACAAUUUUAGAAUUUUCUCUGGAUACAGGAGCUAGUAAUAUCAUAUUAAAAAAACACUUAGUACCAAUAAAAUACCAUAGAAAGGCUAAGAAAGUAAGGGUACCACGACAAAUGGAUGGAACAACAUUUAAAAUCCACGACCACAGUGAAAUGCGAAUUGAAAAACUACAGAAAUUGUAAAACUUGACCACAAUACGUGACCACAAGGUCAGGUAUUGGUGGGUGCAUAUUACAAUCUGCGGCCAAUACGAAGAAAAUGCGACACACAAUACGCGACCUCAUGGUCGCGUAUUGUGUGGUCGCGUAUUAUUAUUUGUGUGUGAUUCUGUCCACCACUGAUUUGCCAAACCCAUAAUAAUGCAAGAAAAUUUACCACUUAAUUACCCAGAAAAAUUGCAACAAAAUAGCACAACCCACAUGAUAUUUACAUUCAAAUUUGACAUCAAAUCUAAGCUUUGCAUCACAUUCAAGUUUUAACUAAAUAGAAAAUGCAUAAGAAUCAGACUUUGCAACAGAAAUUCAUACUUUGCAACAGAAAUUCAUACCUUUUAUGCUAUUUUUGAUGGGUUCAGAAGGAGCAAUUCUUUUGAGCUCCGAAAUUUGCGCAAAGCUCUACAAUGGCGCCCUCCAAUUUCGACGAGGAAGAUACGCCAAGGUGGAUCUUCGUCUGCCGAUCUUGGAAGCUUCAACUGUUGUCUAGCUCAACAAAGGAGAAGAGAGAGUGAGCUGGAUGGAGAUGGUUUUGCUCCAAUUUAUGCCGGCUGUUCGUUUGUAAAUGAGCACCAGAUGCGGGGCUAUUUGUGGAUUGGCAGAUUAAGUACCUCGCAUUUCAGAAAUGCGAGGUCACUGAGCUCGCAUUUUACGAAUGCGAGCUCAUUUCCAAAAUGCGAGGUAUUGCUACCUCAUUUUUUCUGAACAAGCUCGCAUUUCCAAAAUGCGAGGUACUGCUACCUCAUUUUUUUUUUCAGAGACUAACCUCGCAUUUGUGAUAUGCGAAGUCUGGGAACUCGCAUUUCACAAUGUGAAGAUCACAUUCUCAGACCCACCUUCUAAAAUAACCCCCCUUGUAGAACAACGUUUUUUUUCAUAAUAGUUCAAGCAUUUUCUCGAACUUUCUAUGGGAAUAACUGUGAGAUGAUUCAUGUGGACUUCUAAUAACAGUAACCGGUCUUCUUAUAGGUUUUGUAGGGAACCUGUCCCCACUGAACAAAGGAAAUUUUCAAUUCUAGUCAUAGAAUUGUCCCUAUCCCCCAUAAAAAAAACACUUUAUUCAAUGUGCCCUUAUAGACCAAAAUGAAAUAUACAUUUCAGGUAUUAGGCUAUAGAAAGAUACUAUUUUUAUCUAAACAAUUGGUAGAAAUUUAAUAUAAUUAUGUAACUAUGAGUACUUUGAUAACAAGGAUGAUGACUACAAUAAUCACAAACUCAGUACUUUAGGGAGUUUAGUUUUUGUUGGGAGGUACCGGUUUCGAAUAACCACAACACGCAGUGAAAAUCUCUCUAAUUUGUUAGAACAGAUUAGGAACAUUAAGCAAGACAAAAAAUAGCAAAUAACAGAAGAUAAAUCAAUCGACGAACACAAAAGAAACAACCACAAGAAGAUAUAAGAAUUUUUACGUGGAAAAUCUCUCCAAUGUGAAUAGGAAAAACAAGGCGGCUGGGCAGCCCAUCACAAAUUACUCCACUAUCACCAAUUAAAAAUAGAGUACAACUUUUAGCAAGUACACAAUUGAGAUAUGGCCUUAAACAAUCAACAAAAUCACCAAAUCCCAAAUAAAGAGCAAAAGCUAUGAAAAACUUCACCAGGAAACAACAGAAGUCCGAAAUUUAUAACUAAAGAUUGAACUCUUGAAAUCCGAUCUUCACCGUUAAGAAUGUAGAAUUGGAUGUCCUCUAUCUUUAGUUAAAAUUUCAGGCUGAUCAGAAGUUGUUGCUAUGUCAUUCAGGAAAUUUAUUGCAAUUGCUCAAACCAGAAACUUGUUGAAAUUUCUCUCCAGAAUUUUUAGCAUUUUUCCCACUUUUCUGCUUUUGGAAUAAAUUUAAUUUGUCCUAUAAAUAGAUAGGGCAACUCCUUAAUGAGUCUAGACAAUUACCCAUAAUUUUGGACUUUUUCACAUAAGUUGGGAGCCUAAAAACCCAACAAAUCUCCCCCUUCCUGACUAUGUGAAGGAACUUGCCAUCCCGGCAAGUGAGCAACAUAUUUCAAACUUCCAUCUUGGCAAUAACUUGGUCAUCAUAUCAACACCAUUGUCAUCCAUAUGUAUCUUCUCAAAUUCAAUCAACUUCUCAUCCAACACAUCACGUAACCAAUGAUAUCUCACAUCAGCAUGUUUAGAUUUGAAAUGAAAAAUUGGAUGCUUUUCAAGAUGAAUUGCACUUUGACUCUUACAUAGCAACCUAUACCUCUCUUGAGAGCAACCAAGUUCCCUUAGAAACUUUUUCAACCACAACAACUCCUUGCAUGCUUCAGUAGCUGCAAUAAAUUCGACUUCAGUGGUUGACAAUGCAACACAUUUUUGCAACCUAGAUUGCCAAGAAACUACAUCCCCUCCAAAGGUAAUCAAGUAGCCCAAAGUAGAUUUUCUUGUAUCAAUGUCGCCACCCAUAUCAGCAUCAGUAUAACUAGUGAGAACUAGCUUCCCACUUCCAAAACAAAGUUUCAAAUUUGAAGUACCACGGAGAUAUCUCAAAAUCCACUUCACAACAUUCCAAUGUUCUCUCCCAGGUUUUAAGAGAAAUCAACUCACAAUACUGACUGCAUGAGAUAUAUCAGGCCUCAUACACACCAUUGCAUGCAUAAGACUACCAACCGCAAAUGAAUAAGGAACCUUGCUCAUAUAUUCCUUAACUUCUUCAGUAGAAAGACAUUGUGAAAUGCUCAACUUCAUAUGCAUUGCAAAAGGAGUAGUAACAGGUUUAGCCUUCUCCAUUCGAAGCCUUUGAAGGACCUUUUCAAUGUACUUUUCUUGUAAUAGCCAAAGUUUCCUUACUUUCCCAUCUCACAAAAUUCUUAUACCAAGAAUUUGCUUUGCUAGUUUUGAGUCUUUCACAGCAAAAGACUUGCUCCAACUCUUGCUUCAAUUUUGCAAUUCUAGAAGCACUUAGACCAACGAUGAGCAUACCAUAAACAUAGAGCAGCAAAAUAAUAAAAUCAUCAUGCGAGAACCUUUGUGCAAACACAAAAUGAUCAAAAGUGGUUUUCUUGUAGCCUUGUUGUUGCAUAACAGACUCAAAUUUUUUGUACCACUGUCUCGGAGCUUGUUUCAAGCCAUACAAGCUCUUUUUCAACUUGCAAACAUAAUCCUCUUUUCCUUUCACCCAAAAUCCCUCUGACUGCUCCAUAUAAAUUUCUUCAUUCAAAUCACCGUGAAGAAAAGCCGUCUUCACAUCCAUUUGUUCAAUCUCUAAGUCUAGGCUUACUGCUACCCCUAACAUAGUUCGAAUUGAAGACAUUUUAACCACGGACAAAAAAAUUUCUUCAAAAUCAACUCCAUUCUUCUGACUGAAACCUUUAACAACCAAUCUUGUUGUAUAUCUUGGUGUUGAAAAACUCUCUUCCUGUUUCAGUCUGUAAAUCCACCUAUUCUUCAAAACCCUUUUACCCUUUGGUAAUUUCACCAACUCAAAUAUUUGAUUAUCAUACAAUGAUUUCAUCUCAUCCUCCAUAGCAUGCAACCACUGCUGCUUGUCUGCAUUCUCCAUAGCUUCUUCAAAGCAUUCAGGCUCUCUCCUAUUAGUCAAGAGCAUAUAUUCAUCUGGAGAAUAUCUAGUAGACUACUGUCUAACUCUUGUAGACCUUCAGAGUGGAGCUUCUUGUGGAUCUACCAUAGAAUGAGUGAGUUGAUCAUCAUCAACAUCUAUAGAAUUAUGUGUAUCACCAUCAUGCUGGUCAUCAACAACAUCAUCAUGUUGCAUAUCAACUUCUCCAUCAGCUCUUGUGGGCAAAUGUGAUAUUGGAACUGACUCAAAAUCUGUGAGGUCAUCAUGGAUAUGAGAGUCUGUCUUCUCAACAUCAUCGAAGGUUUGGUUUUCAAGAAACACAACAUCAUGGCUUCUCACAAGUUUCUUCUUAACUGGAUCAUACAGUCUGUAACCAAAUCUAUCUUGGCCAUAGCCAACAAAGAUGCAUGGUCUACUUUUUGUAUCUAAUUUUGACCUCUCAUCUUUUGGAACAUGGACAUAAGCUUUGCAACCAAAAACUUUCAAAUAAUCAUACGAGAUGUUUUUACCAGUCCAAACAUUUUUUUGGAACAUCACCCUGUAAAGCAACAGUAGAAGUCAAAUUAAUAACAUGAGUAACAAUAUGCAAAGCCUCACCCCAAAAGGACUUUGGUAGUUUCGACUCUACAAGUAGGCAUUUAACUCUCUCCAUCAAUAUUUUGUUCAUUCUAUCGGCCAAACCAUUCAGCUAAGACAUCUUUGGUGGCAUCUUCUGCUAUCUAAUUCCUUAUUGCUUACAAUAAUUUUCAAAUGGUCCUUGACACUUACCCCUAUUAUCUGUUCAGAUACAUUUCAACUUUCUUCUAGUUUGCCUUUCAACCAAAAUUUGAAACUCUUUAAACUUACCAAGCACUUGAUCUUUUGUUUUCAAGGCAUAAACCCAUAGUUUCCUGGAAUAAUCAUCAAUAAAAGUAACAAAAUAAGAUGCAUCCCAAAAGUUUGUACCUUCAAAGGACCAAAAACAUUUGAAUGCACCAAAUUUAGCAAAUUGCAUAUUCGAUGAAGAGGGUUAGUCUUGAAGGAUAUGUUGUUUUCCUGUAGGACAAUCAAAAUACUUUUCCAAACUUGCAUUCUUCACACCCGGAAGAGCAUUCUUUUUCACCAAAAUCUCAAGUCCCUUUGCACUAAUGUGACUCAACCUCUUGUGUCACAACUUAGGUGAAUUUUGUUUCUCCACCAAAUUCACAGCGUCUCUCAAAAUUGAAGCUUGCAACAAAUACAAAUUUAUCUUCACUUUCGUACCCCAAGCUAUAACCAGGAAUCCUUUACUGAGUUUCCAUUAUCAUCACCAAAAUUAUUGCCAAAGCCAUCAUCAUCAAGUUUCCCUAUGCAAAUCAGGUUUAAGCGAAUAUCUGGAGCAUAUCUGACAUCCUUGAGUAGUAGUGUAGAGCCACUGUUCGUCUUCAAACAAAUAUCACCCAUGCCAACUACAUUGAAUACAUCAUUAUUACCUAUUCGCAACGAACCAAACUCACCCGCAGUGUAGGUAGUAAAGAGAUCUCUCCUGGAAGUGACAUGGAUUGCAACACCAGUAUCAGCUACCCAACUAGUAUCAGAAGAAGCUAGAUUAAUGACACUGUUGUGAAAAACAAUAACAAGAUUCUUGAGAAGAAAACUUAUCAUGAGGUUCAUCCAAUAUAAUUAAUAUUCAUGCAAUUUUACGUUACUUUCAUUCAAGGUAGAAAGCAGGCACCAAAAAGGACGAAGAAGAAGAAGAGAAUAAGCACAUGGACCAAAGUGUUAAACGCACUGAAAGUUAAAGAGGGGUAAGAAAGUCUUUCACAGAACUAACAUAAUUGAAAGUGAUUAGAUAAUAUUAGGGAUGAAAGUGGAACAAAUUCCAUUUUGCACCCCUAAACUUGUAUGACCUCAAUUUUGAACACAUUGUACCAUAAACUCACAAGUUUAUUUCAUUUAAAUCCAAUCAAUGACAAUAUUGCUAAAAUUAACAGCAUAGAGGACCUUAUAAAUCAAUAAUAAUUUGCUUAUAGUAGUUAAAAAGAGUCAAGGUAUCAAUCAGUAAUAAUUUGCUGAUAGUAGUUAAAAAGAGUCAAGGUAUCGCAAAUAAAGUGACGGAUUUUUAAUAUAAGUACAAGUUUAAUUCCAAAAUAUACACGUUUUACUGCAAUCAUAUAAGUCAAAUAGUAGUCUAAGAUAUAUAUUGAAUCGAUCCCGCAGGGAGCACUGAUGAAAAUAACAAUACUAACUAUCUAACUAAAUUAACUAGAUAGCUUGCAAGUAAACAAUGGAGAAAUAUCACCAAACACUUAGAUCUAGGGAAAUAGAGUCCACUUAUGGUACUAAAGAUACAAACAAAUAGAUUUACCUCUUGUUACUACUCUUGUUUAACUAGGGAUUCAUUUCCAUAUUUACCAAAACUCAUUCUCAUGAUGUAAUGGUUUAGAAUAGUCUAAUUUUCCCUAUUCUUAUGGUAAAUAACUAGAUCUAUUCUUUGUUUUUCAUGAAAUGCAAAAUUAAUCCACUUAAGUGUAUCUCUAUUCUCAUGUGUCUACUCCUUAAGUUUCAUUUAUGUUGUUCCAUUAUUAUUACCAACUUUCAUUGAAUAAUAACAACUAAUAACUUGCUAUUGGUGAUCAAUCAAUAACAAGUAAUAAGCAUGCAUAAAUGAAUAAGUUAAUACAAGAUGUAACAAGUGUAAAUCAUAUUCACUUCAUAUCAAGUAGCCAUAAGUUUCAUCUACUCCCUAGAUCUAGAAAUUUAACUACUCAUAUGAUAUAUGACAAGAAAGUACAUAACUUCAUUGUAUGAACCCAUAUUGAAUCACAGGUAAAAACAUAGAUAAAGAAAGUUUAGCCAAAAUGAUGAGCAAAUUCCUAAUGAUCUUCUAUUUCUUCAACAAAAUGAGUUGUACAAUGAAGUCUCCAAUUGUUCUCACAAUUUUUUUAUUAGAAAGAAUAAGAAAAGAUUCUCCUCUCAAACUCUAGAACUAAAUCUGAUAACAAACUAUCCUCCUCACUAACUUCUCUUUCCUCUAAUGAUUCUUACACCAAUAAUGUUAAGAGAGUCAAAAAGUUGUUAAUGCCAGGACAUAAAGCUCAUUUUCUAUUCCUAAAUGACUCUUGAUCAUGUGCAGUCAAAAUUCUUGUCCAAAACUGAGUUGGAAAGUAGUGUGAAAACAUAUCAGGUUGCAGAAUUCUGGCUACAAUACUCGACCUUGAAAUACAUGAGCUUAGCUCGCGCAUUCUCCUUGUGAACGCUUUUUUGUUUCUUUUCUGCUGCAAUUCAUCUUUGAUACUUCAUGCAAGAUGUUCAUGUUGUUGUUCAUGCAUUCCACCAAUGAUCAUUGCAUUUGAUGCUCUUUUAAUUUCCAAAUUUGCCGUUGAAUCAAGCACUAAAUGACUUCGAAUCGGAUCUAUCUUGAACCAAUAUUAACAGUUCACCUCAAUUCCUACAAAUAUAACCAAUUUUGAACAUUAAGUAGCUCAAAUGAAAUUCACAAAAUUUAGAAGCUUAAGGAGUAAGUUAUGUCUUAAAUCAUCCUAAUUUGUACAAAAAAAUAUACACAAAAUGCUACUAAUAACUAUAUAUAAUAUGCAUUUAUCAUAAAGAUGACAAUACAUUUUCAUAAAUUUGCACUGUCAUUUAUCUCAUUAAUCGUACCAACAACAUUAGUUAUUCAGACAUAUAAAUCAAUGACAAUGUACUAAAAGAGAUCAAAAGGAGCUAAGGGAUUGCAUGUAGAACAAGACAAUAUAUUAUCAUUAAUUUGUACUAUCAUUUAUCUUGUUAAUUUUGGUAAUGAUAUCUCAUUAAUUUUGUUAACCUUGUUAUUAAAUGGACUUAAGUGUGACAAACUUGAAAGUUUAAUAUGUAAAGUGUUCGAAAAUGUGAGUUUAGAGUACAAAAUAUUUAAAAUGAAGUUUAGGAUGAAAGGUGAAAAAGUGAUAUAAGUUAAGGGGGUACAAAGUGGAAUUAUUCCAUGAAAGAUAUCUACAUUUUGGUAAACAACCAGACAAUGCCAUUUAGAGUUUAAGACAAAGAAAGGGCGUUCAACACAAGGCCUUCAACACUAGAGUCACAUUCAAAGACAGCUAUUGAAGGUUCUCCUGACCAUCUUGCAAUUAAUGUCACCUUCAUUUCCAUAAAAGCUUCUCUUGCUGUAAAAUUUUCAUGCUUUUAUUAUUGAAUACAAUAACUCAAUGGUUGAUUGUAGAUUUACAUCACUAACAGUAAGAUGCAUCUUUCUUCUUUUUCACUUUAAAAUUUUCUAGUUGUGCUUCUUCAAAUAUUAUGUCAAAUUGAGUUGUUGAUUUGCUAUGUUUUAUGAACUCAAGAUUCUAGAUUUAUUAGUUUAGUUUAAAAUCUUUUGUUGGGCACGUAGACAUCGGGUAUGCAUCCAGUCACUAGUAUAUCUCUACAAUAAUAAAGUGGAACAAGGGUUUAGUUUGGUGUAAAUAUUUUAGUGUCAUUUUUUGUAAUUUUAUUUUUACUCUCCCAACUAAUUUCUCACCAAUUAUGAUAGCCAUGUUUUAUUACUAUUCCAAUAAAAACAAUUGCUACAUAAUAUAACUCUUUCUCCCUUCUAUUUAACUUCCACCACAAUCACAUCGCCUCAACAACUUCUUUACCAUAAAGUAUUGGAAUAAAAAAUUACCUCUUCAUUUUAUGUAGCCAACUAAAUUAUUGACUCCAUAUAACAACUCUUUUAUUCUCAUCUCUUGACAUCAAAUUGUAACUUCAACAAAAUUUUUGUACUUGUUCAACUAUUGAGUACAAAUUGUUCUAUGACUAAUCAAAGAUUUUCUUACGAAAUAUUAUGUCUAGUAUGUUGAUCUUGAUCCCUGUCUUUUGAUGUUUAAAAAAGAAUUGGAUAGUACUAAUAUCUUUUCUAAGAAAUCCUUUCAGUCUUGAAGCAAUUUGAUUCAAAGACAAGAAUAUUUGAAAGAAGAAAAGGAAGACGAAAGCUGUCGGACGCAAGCAUCGGACGUCUGAUAAAAUCCUUUAAAAUCUUUAUCUGCUAUCGGACGGAAGUACCGGAUGUCCGAUAGAAUCCUUCAAACUCGACGAAAGUUGUCGGAUGCUCGCAAAAACAAUACGGACGUCCGAUAGAAUUGAGAUAAUCUUUCAAACUCUCUGUCUGCUAUCGGACUCAAGCAUCGGAUAUCUGAUAGAAUCCUUCAAACUCUUUGUCUGCUAUCGGACGGAAGUACCGGAUGUCCGAUAGGAUCCUUCAAACUCUAUAUCUGCUAUCGGACACAAACAACGGUAGUACCGGACGUCCGAUACUCCUAACGGCUAUUUAACUCUUCAGUUACUUUCUAUCCGUUGGAAGCAUUAAUGAACCACUUUUUUUGUCUCAUAUAAAUAGAGUAUGGUUAGAAAUUUCAUACGAAUUUUGCACACUGAAAAUACAAAAGAUGUAGAAUAGUUUUAGUGAGAAAACACUCUCCAAGGAAAAUUUGUGGUCUUGGUGGUGUGAAAUUCAUUGUAAACUUUUCAUUUGUGAGCGAAUACUUCAAUAGUAUAGCUCUGUGAGAGUUGCCUUGAGGGAUAGUAAAACUUCCUAAUUUGACCGAAUGGAGUUUGGGGUAAGGAGGAAGUGAGCUUUCCUUUGUACACAAGAUUAGUUGUCUUUCAUCAACUUGAAGAAGUUUGUUUGAAUUGAUUUUCAAGUUCAAGAGGAGUUUGGUAGUCAAUUGGUUUCCAAUUCCUUUCGUCUCAUUUACUUAUUGUUAUGUUGUGAUCCUUAAAUUGCUUAUUUCUUUUCAAAUGAUAUUAUUUAUUCAUUGAUUGAUUUAUUGUGUGAUCACUUAGAAAAGAGGGUAAAUUUCAUAUUGAGAAAAAAGUAUCCAUAACUUGAUUAGCUUUUUAAUAAACCUAAUUCAUCCCCCUCUUAGGUUAUUUUCGAUUCUUACAAUUGGUAUCAGAGUUUAGUUUUCGAAAGAUUAAGAUCAAGCAACUUAAAAGUAAAGAUGACAAUCAACAAUGCCAUAUUUUUUGAAAGACAAUCUAUAAUUAGACCUCUAAUAUUUAAUGGGUUAAAUUAUAUGAGUUGGAAAGAAAGAAUGGUUAUUUUCUUGUAAUCGAUUGAUAUUAAAUUACAGUUUAUUGUUAGUGAAGGUACAUAUGAUGCCUCUAUAGUAGAUGAAAAUACUCAUAGAUCUAAACAAAAAAUAAGAAAUAAAUUGACUGCAAAGGAUAGAAAGCAUCUCACCUUAAAUGCAAAAAUUAUGAAUGUAUUAUAUAGUGCUUUAGACUCAAAUGAAUCUAUUAGAGUUAAGGGUUAUAAGUCAGAUAAAGAAAUUUGGGACAAACUACAAGAAAUUCAUAAAGGUAGUGAGAAUGUUAGACAACAAAAAAAAUCUAUCUUAAUUACUAAAUAUAAGUUGUUUAAGAUGGAACCUCAUGAAAAUAUUGAUAAAAUGUAUUAUAGAUUCAAUGAUCUUAUUAAGGAUCUAGAGGUGCUAGAAAAGGAAUACUUCUUGAGAGAGAAAAAUAGAAAACUCUUGAAUGCUUUAUCCAAGAAUUGAGAGAGUAAGAUGACUGCUAUUGAAAAGACUAAAGAAUUGAAUUCUACGUCUAUUGAAUCUCUUAUAAACUCUUUAACAUCUUAUAAGUUGAACCUUACACCAAGGUACAGGAAGAAGAAGAUGCAAAGGUAAAAAGGAGCAUUACUCUAAAAGCAUAUCAAAAUGAAGAUGACUCAGCUUCCUUGGAUGGAGAAGAUGUGGAGGUUGAUGAUAAUAAUCUUGCUCUCAUAACAAGAAGUUUCAAAAGAAUUCUAGACAAAAGAAGAUUUAGAAAAGGAGGAUCUAGCAAUUCAAAUUCCAAUCAAUUUAACAAUGCAAGAAUCAAGGGGAAUCAAGAAGCCAACAAAAGACAAGGUGACAAAUGCUAUGAAUGCGGCCAAUUUGAACACUACAUGAGUGAGUGUCCACUAAAGAAGAAGAAAACUGAAACAAAAUCAAGAUUCAACAACUUCCAAUUUGCAUGGAAUGAGUGCAUCUCCAAUGGUGAAAUUGAAGAGGAAGAAAAAUCUGCUCAAUUGGUCUUUAUGGCCAUUGAAGAUAAUGAGAUAACAAUUUCUAACCCUCAAUUUAAAAGUGAUGAUGAUCCUGAAUCUUUCAUUAAAAAAUUACAUGAUAGUUUAAAAGAAUCUUAUGUUAGAAACAAGAAAUUAAAAUACAAAAUUAGUUUUCUUUUUCAGAAUAAUACACGCUUUUUUCAAGAAAACAAGAUGCUGAAAACGGAAAAUGAUUUCUUGAAAAAGAAUGAGAUUGAUUUACAAAAUAAACUUGAUAGAAAAACAAGAAAUUGUGAAAUGUUCAAAGAGGAACAAGGUGAUCUGAAAAGAAAAAUGGAUAAUCUAAAUGAUUUUCUCCAAUAUAAGAAACAAAACUGUUUUCAAAGAAAUGGAACAAAGCCUUAUCUUGGCAUUUAUAAGAAGAAGAUAAAUUCUGAUGCAAAUGAUUUUGCUGUUUAUAAGAGAAGACAAAUAAAAUUUAUUAAACCUGUUUAUGCAAAUAACCCGUUGGUUAUGUGUAAUUUUUGUUGUCAAAAAAGUAAUAUGAAAAGCAAUUGCCAUGUGGAAAAGAACAUGAGAAGAGGCAUGAAAUGCAUGUGGAUAGUUAGACAUGAUACUAACUCUCAAGGGUUCAAAAAUUUUUGACUACUAUAUAUUAGUUCUUGAACUCUUGAGUAGGUGAAUCUGGUGAGCAUUAUUAAGGAAUCAAAGUGGUUCAUAGACAGUGAAUGCUCAAAACACAUGACUGGUGAUCCAUCACAAUUCAUCAAACUCAAACCAAAGUCUAGUGGCAUAGUAACAUUUGGAGAUGAUGUGUUUCUACCUCAAAACUAUUAGAGCUUUUACAUCUUGAUUUGUUUGGUCCUACACAAAUUACUAACUUGGAUGGUAAGAAAUAUUAUUUAGUCAUUAUUGAUGAUUAUUCUAGAUACACUUGGGUGAUUUUUCUUGCUCACAAAGAUGAUACUUUAAAAAAAAAUUAUUUCCUUAUUUGCAAAAGUUCAAAAUCUGCUUGAUUUGAAUAUUGUUAUCUUUUGGUUUCAAAAGUUCUUGCAAAAGUUCUUGACCAAUUGGAUGUUCUCUUUUGGUGUUAUUUUUUUUUAUUGACUGAUGAUGGUUGCAGCUGUUGUUAUUUUUUUUAUGACAAUUACUCUCUAUUUUAAGAUGACAAAAAGGGAGAGAAUAAUGAUAAUCUAAUGUUGAUCUGACAUGCUUUGGCUGAGUAAGGGAUGUAAUAUGUAAGGGGGAGUUAUUCUGAUAUGUGUAAGGGAGAGUUCUUUCGUUGAUAUUAUAUGCUGGUACCAAAUGGUUUUGGAUGCUAUGUGAAUAAGGGGAAGUUUUUGCUUAUUUUUCUUUAUCAUCCAUUGUUUUGUCAUCAUAAAAAAAUGGGAGAAUGUUGAUCUUGAUCCCUGUCUUUUUAUGUUUACAAAACAAUUGGAUAGUGCUAAUAUCUUUUCUAAGAAAUCCUUUCAGCCUUGAAGCAAUUUGAUUCAAAGACAAGAGCAUUUGAAAAAAGAAAAAGGAAGACGAAAGCUGUCGGACGCAACAUCGGACGUCCGAUAGAAUCCUUCAAAAUCUUUGUCUGCUAUCAGACGGAAGUACCGGAUAUCUGAUAGGAUCCUUCAAACUCAACGAAAGCUGUCGGACGCUCACAAAGAUAAUACUGGACAUCCAAUAGAAUUGAAAUAAUCCUUCAAACUCUCUGUCUGCUAUCGGACGCAAGCAUCGGAUGUCCGAUAGAAUCCUUCAAACUCUUUGUCUACUAUGGGACGAAAGUACUGAACGUCCGAUAGGAUUUUUCAAACUCUCUAUCUGCUAUCGGACGCAAACAACGGUAGUACCGGAUGUCCGAUACUUUCAACGGUUAGUUGACUCUUCAACUACUUUCUAUCCAUUGGAAGCAUUAAUGAAACACUUUUUUGGUCUCAUAUAACUAUAGUAUGGUCAGAAACUUCAAACAACUUUUGCACACUGAAAAUACAAAAGAUAUAGAGUAGUUUUAGUGAGAAAACACUCUCUAAGGAAGAUUUGUAGUCUUGGUGGUGUGAAAUUCAUUGUAAACUUUUCAUUUGUGAGUGAAUACUUCAAUAGUGUAACUCUGUGAGGGUUGUCCUGAGGGAUAGUAAAACUUUCUAACUUGACCAAGUGGAGCUUGGGGCAAGGAGGAAGUAAGCCUUCUUUUGUACACAAGAUUAGUUGUAUUUCAUUAACUUAAAGAAGCUUGUUUGAAUUGAUCUUCAAGUUCAAGAGGAGCUUGGUAGUCAAUUAGUUUGGAAUUCCUUUCUUCUCAUUUACUUACUGUUAUGUUGUGAUCCUUAAAUUGCUUAUAUCUUCUACUUCUCUCAAGUGAUAUUGUUCAUUCGUUGAUUGAUUUAUUGUGUGAUUACUUAGAAAAAAGGGUAAAUUUCAUAUUGAGCAAAAAGUGCCAUAACUUGAUUAGUUUUUAAUAAACCUAAUUCACCCUUCUUAGAUUGUUUUCGAUUCUUACAAUUGGUAUCAGAACUUAAUCUUCUAGAGAUUAAACUUAAGCAGUUUAGGAGGAAAGAUGACAACCAACAAUGUCAUAUUUUUUGAAGGAUAAUCUGUGAUUAGACCUCCAAUGUUUAAUGGAUCAAAUUAUGUGAGUUGAAAAAAAAAAAAAGAAUGAUUGUCUUCUUACAAUUGAUUGAUUUAAGUAACUAUAUUGCACUAUUUUUUGAUGAAAUAUUUGGUCAUUUUUAGUCAAUUAUGGGAUAUUACAGGUUGAAACAAAGUCAUUUGUGGCAAAAAUGUGGAAUGAUAACUACAUAGGGUUUUCAAGUCAUUUUUGUCCCUUUUACUUGCACUUUGUUUAUGUUUCUUGUAGGAGAUUGAAAUUGACUUCACUUGGGGCAAGAAAUGAUUUUGCAUUAUGUUGAUUAAAGUUCUAUAGUUUGUAAUAAUGACGAGUGUCAAAGGUAGCUUGAGGCACAAGAGCAAUGGAAUGAAGAAACUUGAAGAAAAAGAAAGUUGACCGAAUAUAUCCAAGAAUCCAGCUAGAUUGUCGAAAGGAUUCAUGGUAGAAUGUUUGAUUGAAGAAAAAAAAAGAACAAAAGAAAUGGAGGAGGAAUCCCUCCAAGAAUCCGAUCGGAUUGCCAAAGGGAUUUCGAUCAAACUUGUGGCUUCCACUUGCGCAACUUGUUUUCACCUCCAUUAUUUCACAUCUUUUGAGAGAUGUUUGGCAGCAAUUUAGUGGCUGUAAAAGUGACAUUUGAAGCUUUAUUUCAUGACUUGUUUGACCUAUAAAUAUAUGGUUUUGUAAGAAGCAAGGAAAACUUGGAGAGGGACAACGAAACACCACAAAAAUGUUGUAUCUUAACUCUUUGGUUUAGGAUAGUGUAGGAUAGUUUAGGUUAGUUAGUUCAUCCUUUCUUGUUUAUUAACUAAAUGAAGAUGAAGUUGGAGGAUGAAAAAGGCGAGAGAGCCCAUGUCACAAGGGUUACUCUGCUUUUCCAAUUUUUUUUCUUUUGUAAUUGAUUCUAAAUUUAGUUGAUACAUGAGUUUGGAUUUUGUCUUUAUUGUGAGUUUCUAAAAUUAAUGUCUUAGGUUUUGGUUGACCUUUGUAUGGUUGUUUUGUGUUGAGUUUUUGGCUAUUUGGUGCUAUUAUUUUGAACAAGUUAUUUAGGACUUUUUCUCCUCUAAUCAAGAUUAACCUGGUACCAUUAAUUUUAAUUAUCUAAAAGUGUUUGAUUUGUAAUGAAAACUAGAAUUUAACACCAAUUCAAGAAAGUGUUAACUCUAUAGUGUACUCUCACGAGAGUAGAUAUACACCUUUGUGGCGACGUUAUUCCAUAUAAUUUCAUAGAAAAAAAUGAACUUAUAAUUAAUUUCAUAACCAUGAGAGUUGGUAUGAAUUAGUUAUAAGUAUAGUUAAUUCACUACAAGAGUAGGUUUCAUAUGCAUAAGAAAAUUACGACAUAAUUAGGCAAAAUAGUAGUGCUCAAUGAUUCAAAAAUUACACUUGCAUGAGUAGUUAGAGAUACCAUGAUUUAAGGAGCUUUCAUUUGCUAUUUCUUAUAUAUUUUAGUGUAUUUUUAUUUCCUUCAAUUUGUUGAUCGUUUAAAUAACAGAGGUGUGUUAGUAGUGCUAGUAGUUGUCCAUUUUUCCCUAUAGGUUCGACCUUUAAUACCCUGCACUCAAUCACAAUUCGUACACUUGUGAAAAAUUGAGUGUUAGCUAUUUAAGAAAUUUACAAAUUUAAAACCGUAGUUUGAGCUUAAUUUUAUAUGCAUACCCAGAACUCUUCAAGUUUUUGGCAUUGUUAUCAAGGAAAAUUUGUGGCAAUAUCGGCAUGAUGACGAACUUUAUUUGUUUAGAUAUUUUACUUAUUUUCUUGUGUUUGUUGUGUCUAGUUUUCUUGUAUGUUUGUUUAGUCUUUGUUUGUGUGUUAUACAUGUCGAAUCACCUAUUCUUUUUUACUAAACUUAUUUUUGAGUUACUUUGAAGGUAUGUUUAAGGACUCAAAGAAAGUAGUAAACAUGGGGUAGACAAUAUAUGAGAAGUGCAAACUCAACAAUGAAUUGUUACCAUAUGCAAAACUCCAUGAACAUAGGUAAUUAAGAGGUGUUUGAAGGUAUGUCACUUAAAGAUGGCAUUAGGAGCAUUAAAGUUAAACCUGAUUAUAUAAUAUUAAAAGUUCAAUUGCACACCAUUAUGUAUAUGAUUGAAUAAAAAAGGAAUAUUAAUUCUUGUAAUUCUAAUAAUAUGAUUUGUGACUUGUGUGGAGGUUAUCAUGCUACUUACGAAUGUGUGCAAGCAUAAAAUGUAGAUUAUUAUGGUAAAUUUGGGCAUUACAAUUCUUAUUUUGAUCAAUGCAAUCCUAGUUGGAGUAAUUCUUAUGAAUAUUGUUGGAAUAAUCAAUGUAAUUAUAGUAAUUCUUUAUAUUUUUAUAAUUACCAACCUGAAUUUAUCCAAUUUGAAUCUAAACCAUUGUUGGAAUUUAUCCAAUUUGAAUCUAAACCAUUGUUGGAAUUAGUUAUUGAAAGGUUAGCUAAUGCACCUUUACCUUAAGAGUUAGUCAUAGAAGAGAAAAACAAUGAAUGGGAGUUUGGUAUAGAAAAAUUUGCUAAUUAGGUAGAUUGAGAUAUAGAAAGGCUAACUAAUGCAAUUUUAGAUCGUUUUGAUAGGGUUGAGAAAAGGAUAGACGAGCUAGCUUCAUACUUUGAAAGAAUACAAGACUAAUUGUAUGAUUUGUGUGAAAUUAUUUUUUCUAAUGAUUUGCAAAUUGACCCUAUUAUGAAUGGUAGGAAUGAUGCAAGUGAAAAUAAAUAUCCUUUUGAUGAUAAUAAUGAUCCUAAGUGUUGUUUUAAUGAGAAAAUGUCCAUUUCAUAAGAUAAUAUCCUUAGACCUAAUAAUAAACCUCAAGAGAUAAGCAUCAAUGAUUCAUACUUUAUGUCUCUUGAAGAUGUAGAUUCUAAAGAUGUUAUCCCUGAAGAAUCUUCGCGGGAUUUCAUUUGGUGAGUAUUCAAGUGAUGCACAUUCAAAAUAAUAUCUAUGAAUCACUUGAGAUUGGUAAUCCACUUCCAUCUCUCACAUUAUUAGAAUAUGUAAUUUUUUAUUUCGAGCCACCUUUUGUUGAUUCACCAUGUUCUAAAAUAGUAGAUUAUUCUUAAGCAAAACCCCAAUGAAAAUAAUAUUAUAUAGUCAAACUAUUGGUUAUAAAGAAUCGCUUGUUAGAACGCAACCCAAUGAUUUCUUGUUUUUAGUGUGUUUAUCACUCAAUCCCUAUAAAUACAACCCUACUCAUUACUAUAUUCGAAUUAUAUUUUAGAGUGGAAAUUUUUAUUUUUAUUGGUUUGACAACCCAACAAAAGCACUAAAAAUUGUUCCUUAGUAGACUAUAAAUUUUAGUUUUUUUGCUAUUAAAAAAUUUAUAAUCUAAAUGUGAAAGCAAAUGAAAACAUAAAAAACAACUAAUUUUUUAUCAUAAAAAUUUAUAAUUGGUUAAAAUAAUCAAUGGUGAACAAUCCCACUCUCAUAUUACUACUGUAGUAAGCAAACUACGUCCAUUCAUAUAAUUGUAGAUCCCUCAGGCCAUUAGAGAUUAAUACUUGAAGGUUUUGAAUUCCCCAGCAUGCAGCCACUUGGUACAUGCCGACCUAUCACCUUUGAUCAUUGGGCAACUAAUCUGCAUUAAAGUACAACUAAAAUCAAAAUUCUCUGUAUUUUGGAGCCAUGAAUCUGAAUAGGCACUUAAAUGAAGAAAAACAUAUGUUAGAGAUCAAACAUUUUCCAACUGACAUCUUGACUUCAAACUGGAUAAUUUUUCCAUUCGUGGAUUAGAGCCUUUGAUACAAUUUUACACCUUAAGUGGCUGUUGGCUUUCUUUGGGUGUCCCUCAUACAGGCCUUCUCUUCAUUGUGAAGCCAUAGAGGGAAAAAAAGAAUUUCUAUGUUUGUGGAUUAAUGAUGGAUUACGAAAACAUUUUUAAAAAUAAGUGGAGUCCAUUCGCUAAUCAUAUAUUCAUUCAUAUCCUUAGGUAAGGAUUGAUGACUAUGAAUUCGGGAAACUAUUUUAGUGGAGUACAAAUAGAUUAGAGUUAUUUUAGUUCUAUAAAUGGUAGGGGAUACUAAUAAUAUUCACAUAAUAAGUGAUAGCAGAAAUUUAUUUGGGGUAAGUGACAGCAAUUAUCGACUGCAUAAUUAAUAAAUAAAACAAGAGGAUGCAAAUAAUCAUCUAAUGCUCAACAACUCAUUAAAGCCCCCUUUUUUGUGCAUAAAAAAAACUCAUGAAAAAAUUGUUGGGUUUUUGAGCUCCCGACUUAUAUGGAAAAGUCCAAAAUUAAUGGGUAAUUGUUUAGACCCAUUAAGAAGUUGCCCUACCUAUUUUUAUAAGUCAAAUUAGAUUUAUUCCAAAAGCAAAAAAAUGGGAAAAACGCAAAAAAAUUCUGGAGAGAAAUUUCAGCAAGUUUCUGGUUUGAGCAAUUGCGGUAAAUUGCCUGAUUGACAUAGCAAACAAUGUCUGACCGGCCUGAAAUUUUAACUUAGGAUAGAGGACAUCUAGUUCUACAUUCUGUAUGGUGGAGAUCGGAUUUAAAUGGUUCAAUCUUUAAUUAUAAAUUUUGGACUGCUGCUAUUUUCUAGUGAAGUUUUUCACAGCUUUUGCUCUUUAUUUGGGAUUUGGUAACUUUGUUGAUUGUUUAAGGCCAUAUCUCAACUGUGUACUGUUGAAAGUUAUACUCUACUUUUAAUUGGUGAUAGUGGAAUAAUUUGUGGUGGACUCAAGAGCCUCUUUGUUUUUCCUGUUCACAUUGGAGAGAUUUUCCACGUAAAAUUUCUUGUGUCUUCUCGUGGUUGUUUCUUUUUGUGUUCGUGAGUUGAUUUAUCUUAUGUUAGUUGCUGAUUUUUUGUCUUGCUUAAUUGUCCUAAUCUGUUCUAAUAAAUUGAGAAUGUUUUCACUGCGUGUUGUGGUUAUUCGAAACCCAGUACCUCCCAAUAUAGUAGUAUCAGAGCUUAUUCUGAUUUGUUAGACUUAUGGAGGUUAAUACAAGCCAGAUGAUAUCAUUGAAUGGAUUGAAUUAUCACAAAUGAAAAGGUAAGAUGAAAGACCUUUUAUUUAUGAAAAGUAUGCACCUACCUGUAUUUGCUACGGAAAAGCCGGAAUCCAAAUCUAAUGAGGAAUGGGAUUUUGAGGAUCAACAGGUGUGUGGUUAUAUCAAACAGUAGGUGGAAGAUAAUGUUUUCAAUCAUACUGCCAAUGAGACAAAUGCCAAAACACUAUGGAAUAAAUUUGAACAACUCUAUGCUUCCAAGACUGGUAACAAUAAAUUGUUUUUACUCAAACAGCUGAUGCAGUUGAGAUACAAGGAAGGCACACCUAUUUUGGACCAUGUGAAUGAGUUUCAAGGUUUGUUGGAUCAGCUGUCUAAUGUUGGAGUAAAAUUUGAUGAUGAAACUUUUGGACUGUGGUUACUGAAUACUUUGCUUGAUUCGUGGGAGAUAUUUUGGGUCUCACAUACCAAUUCUGCCCCUAAUGGUGUGAUAACCAUGGACCAUGCUAAAAGUGAAAUUUUAAAUGAAGAGGUGAGAAGAAAACUCAAAUUUUUUCAAUUUUAUCCAAAGGCAACAAAUUCCAUACCAUUAGGAACUCAAAUUCCUUCUACCUUUGAAACAAAUAUAUAUGAUUUGAAAACUUCAUUUCCCAUUUAACUUGGAAAUGCUUAUUAUGUUAUUAUAAUUUGUACAUUUAUGAGAAAGUAUAUCGUGUAAAGUGAAAAAAUUAUGCCUAUAUUUUGCUAAUUUGAAAAAAAAUUCUCUUUACUCGAUUUUAUAUAGUUAAGUGAUAAAUAUGGUCAAUAAUUGCAAUAUUCUUCUCAUAAUUAUUCUUUUGAGAGACUUAUUAUUAUCAUUAUUUUAAAAAAAAAAGAAAAUAAAAGUAGAAAAAAGAAAAUAAAAGUUGUUCUAAUCCAAUGGUUUUUGUACUUAAUAACCGGAACUUUUCAUUUACAAAUGUCAAUUUUCCCGUAAAAUGGUACUUGAAUUAAGAGUAUGCAAAGCAACUUGAGAAUGUGAAAUAUUGAGUAACAAGUAUUUUCAUUUAAAAAUGUCGAUUUUUGGGUCAAAAGACAUUUUCACAACUUGAGUAAUAUUUAUAUAUGUAAUAUGAAUAAAUUCCUCUUUAAGUUGAGGUUUAGAUAGCAUUUUUAUUGACCAUAUGACUUACUUGCUUGUAAAAUUGGGAAAGGAUGAGAAAUGGAAUUGAACUAGCUAUAAUUACGAUAUAAUUGACUCUCCUUUACUAGAUAUUAUGAGUACUUGUAGUUAAUUGGAUUAUACACAUGUUUAAUUUCAAAGUUUGGAUCAUUGUUGGUUGGAUAAAAAACAAAAAAACCCCUGUAGUAAACCUAAUAUAUAGAAAAACUUCCCGUAGUUUCAAAAUAUACAACACGACACCCCGUACUUUGAACUAAAUUAUAAAGGUGACGGAAUUCGUUAAACUUAAUAGAAUUGGACGAAAUGACCAAAAUGCCCUGAUAUAAUUAAGCAAAAGACAGUUCAAAAAAAUCAUUUGUUUUAUUCUCUAAAUAGAGAGAAUUGAGGGUUUGGGGGUAGAACAGGUAUAUUUGUUAAAAAUUAUGUAUAAAUUUUUUUUUAGGUUCCAAUAAAUCAUUUCUGUUAAGUUUAAUGAAUUCCGUCACCUUUACAAUUUAGUUCAAAAUACGGGGUGUCGUGUUGUAUAUUUUGAAAUCAUGGGAGGUUUUUUUAUGUAUUAGAUUUACCACAAGGGGUUUUUUUGUAUUUUAACCUUGUUGGUUUGUAUUUCUUAAUUGCUUGAGAACAAGUAACAGUUCAAGUGUGGAGGAGUUUAAUAAGCAUGUAUUUUGAGUGUUUUAAGUUUGUUUUAUUAGUUUUGGUAUGUUUUAUUCACUUUUAUAGCUAAUGAACUAACUUUCUAGUGAGAUUUGCAUUUUUAUGAUUUAAGUGGUAAACAUCGCAAUUCUAUAGAUUUUAAUAGUGAAAACUUCAUAUUUUUGUAGGUUUAAUAAUUAAUCAUCAAAUGAUUUGAAGUGAUAAAAAGAGAAUAUGAAGUGCAAGAGAUGAAAUGCAACUUAAUAUAUAAGAAGGAAGUUUUACAAUUUUGAUACUUUGUGGUAUUUUGGCUAUAUCUUAAGAUACAAGUAUUGGAUUAAGAUAAUUCUUGUACCAUUUCGAAACCAAGAGAUAAAUCUACAUUUGGCAUGCAGACAUCAAAGUCCAGUUUAGUUGUUUUCAUUACCAAAAUGCAGAAGCACAUUUUCAUUAUCGAAAGAUGAAAUAGAGUUCUGACCAGUUGGAGGUAUUUUGAUCAUUUCUUAACCCACAGAACUCCAAAUUGGAUGAUUCUUGAUGAUUGGAAAGUUAACUCAAUUCACUUUCUAUCAUCGAGAAAAUAUCAGUUGAAUUUGAACAAAAAACAGAGCAAAGAGAAGAUUGACCAGAAAUGAGCAAACUUGCAAAAGAGCAAUACGUGGGGACAAUACGCGACUUAAGGUCGCAUAUUCUUUAAUUUCAGCUGUAACUUGCUCUGCAACUUGUGCUCUAUUCACACAACUUUCCAACUUAAUUCCAGCAAGUAAUUUCGGGUAUAUCUAAUCAAGAAAUGUGUGAAAAUUUGGAGAAACAGCUUUUGGGAGUUUCAAGAGUCAAAAAUGACAACUAGAAACAACUAUUUUGUGGCUUGAAUCUUUCCAUAAAUAGCAGCCUUUGAAGAACAUUUUAACAACUUUGGAAGGCAAGAGAAACUCCACAAAAAUGUCGUCUUCAUUAGAAUUUCCUUAGUUCAUUAAUUAAGGUAGAUUAGUAUAGUUAGUGUAGUUUAUCCUUCUUAUAUUUGUAAUUAGAUUUGGAUGAAGAUUUGAACAGCAAAGAUGGAGAGUUGGAUCCCAUGUGAUAAGGGUGACUUCUCUCCUAUCACUUUCUCUUUUGUAUUUAAGUUCAUGUUUAUCUAUAAUACAAGUUUGGUGUUUAUCUUCAUGUUUUGUUAAAAUUUACACUCAGAGUUGUGGAUGAACUUUCUAUAUCUUGUUAGUGAUAUUUACUUGAUUAUUUGGUGAUAUUAUUUUGAGUAAGUUAUUUAUCACUUUUGUUUUUCUAAUCAUGAUUAACCGACAAUUAAUUGUGAUAAUCUUAAGGUGUUAAAUUUGCAAUGAGAAUUGGAAUUUAACACUAGUUCAAGUAAGUGAUAAAUCUAGAGAGUUUACUCACGAGAGUAGAGGAGCACCUUUGUGGCUUUAGUGACUUGUUUCAUGUAAUUUCAUAAAAAGAAUGAACUUGUAGUUAAUUUCAUAACCACGAGAGUAGGUAUGGGUUAACUACAAGUAUAGUUGAUUCACUAUGAGAGUAAGUUUCACAUACAUUAGGAAAUUACACUAUAACUAGUCAAGAUAAUAGCAUUCAAUUAACCGGUAAUUUAAUUUCCAUGAAUAGUAUGAAAUUUCAUACCUCAAGGAACUUUCUAGUGGUAUUUGUAUUACUUUUAUUUCGUGGUUGUAUUGUAGAUUUAAUUACUUGCACUUGUGAUAGUUUAAAUAAUAAAGAAGUUCAAAAACUAUCGGUAAUUGACAAUCAUCCCAAUGGGUUCGACCUUUAAUACCCUUUUGCUCAAUAAAUCACUCAUAGACUUGCGAAAAAUUGUGUAUGGGUAUUUAAGAAUUUAUAAAUGUAAAAUUUGAUUAUGGAUGAGCUAAUUGUUAUAUAUAUACCCCACGCUCGUCAAAUUUUUGGCGCCAUUGCCAGGAAAGAUUUGGCAAUAUCGGCAUGAAAAACAACUUUAUUAGUUUGGACAUUUUACUUACUUUCUUAUGCUUUUGUGUUUAGUUGUAUGUUUGUUAAGUCUUUAUUUGUGUGUUUUUAUAUGUGUUGAGUCACCUAUUAUUCUUGACUAAACUUGUUUUUGAAUUACUUUGAAAGUAUAUUUAGGAAUUCAAUGAGGGUAGUAAACAUAGGGGAAUAAUGCAUGAAAAGUGGAAGAUCGGUAAUGGAUUGUUACCAAAUGCAAAACUCCUUAAAUAGAAGUAAUCAAGAAAUUAUCGAAAAUAUGUCAUUCGAAGACGGUUUAAGGAGUUUAAAGGCUACACUUGAUUUUAUAAUAUUAAAAGUUCAAUUGGACACUAUUACACAUAUGCUUGAGCAAAAGAGGAAUAUUAAUACUUUCAAUUCUUAUCAUAUGAUUUGUGACUUGUGUGGAGGUUAUCAUGCUACUUAUACAUAUAUGCAAGUACAAAAUGUGAAUUAUUAUGAUGAAUUUGGGUAUUAUAAUUCUUGUUUUGAUCAAGGCAACCUUAGUUAGGGUAAUUCUUAUGCAUACGGUUGGGGUAAUGAAUGUGCAUAUAAUGAUUCUUCAUGUUAUCAUGAUUACCCACUCGAGUGUGUCCAAUAUGGAUUUAAACCAUCUUGAGAAUUAGUUAUAGAAAAGUUAGCUAAAGCGACCUCAGAUCGUUUUCCUCGGAUUGAGGAUAGGUUGGAUGAAUUAGUUUCGCACAUUGAUAGAAUACAAGAUCAAUUGCAUAUUUUGUGUGAAAUUAUUUCUUUUAAUGAUAUGCAAAAAGACCCUAGUAUGAAUAGUGGGAAUGUUGCAUGUGAAAUUAGAUUGCAUCAUGAUUACAAUGAUGCAUCUAAUGCGUGUUUCAAUGACAAAUGCCCAUUUCAUAUAAUAAUGCCUUUGAAUAAAGUUUGAACCUCAAGAGACAAGCAUGAAUGAUUCAUAUAUAAUCUCUCUUGAGGAAUGUGCUGAAUAUGUAGAUUUCAAGGUCAUUAUAGCUCAAAAAGGUUAUAUGCACCUUCCUUUAUUAAGUACUCAAGUGACACACAUUCAAGGUAAUAUCUAUGAAUCACUUGAGUUAGGUAAGUCUCUUCUAUCUCUCUUAUCAUUUAAUUAUGUGACUUUUGUUAUUAAAUCACCUUUCAAUAAUCCACCACGAUCUACGAUGGUGGAUUAUUCAUUGACAAAUCCUCAUUGAAAAAUGGGGUGAAAUAGUCAAGCUAAUAACACUAUAAAGAAGCACUUGUUCCGAGGCAACCCAAUGUUUGUUCAAAUUUAUAUUAUUUUGGUGUAAUUUUAUUUUUAAAUUAUGCAUUUAAGUUAUUUUAUUAUUUUUCUUUUGUAGGUAUUGGAAGUAGAAACAAAGUAAACCAAAUGAGGUGAAAAAAGUUAAGUUUGAUCAAAGAACUUCACCCCACGAUUUGAAGAAAAGUUGUUUUUGAAUUGUUAAAGAGGGUUUAUGUUCUGAUCAUUUUACAUGUGCUCACAUUGAUUAUUUUGAUAAAAAAAAUGAUCUAGAAUGCAUUUUGAAUUAUUGGGACAACAAGUAUAAUUGUUGGAAAGUAAGAAAAUUCUGCAGAAAAAAUUGCAGAAUUGAGAAAACGCAGCUCAAUACGCGACUUUAGGUCACGUUUUCUUCAACAGUGUAUUCAUGUCUGCAACAUUUCAACAGAAAAUACGAACAUCAAAACGCGACUUCAGGUCGCGUUUUCUUGAACUCGCACAUUCAUUUCUGCAACUUUAAAGUAGAAAACACGAGCUCAAAAACGUAAGGUCAAGGCCACGUUUUCGAGUCGCGUUUUCAGCUCUUGUUUUAAAAGGAGAAAACGUGGCUUCAUUUUCCUUUCUUCCUCUUUUUCCUCUCCUCGUGUUUUCUCACACACACUUCACCCAUUUCACCCAUCUUCUCUUAUACACCAUGUUCUUGCAAGAAAUCAUCCAAUGAACAUCAUUUGACCUUCAUAGAGUCUUUUCAACUGAUUAAAAUUCAAGAAAAAUAACUCAAAAAUUGGAUUAAGGCUAGGGUUCAUAGUUUCCAAAUCUAACAAUUGGAGGUUAACUGGGGUGAUUUUUAUAGGACUUUUUGUAUCAUUUGCAUCACCAAACAUCACUCUACCAAAUUGAGGUAAAUUUCUUGAACUUAAUUUGGUAUAUUAGAAUUCACCAUUCGCAUAUUUUUGAGUUUAUUGAUACACUUUGAAUGGUGAAUUUGUGAUGUUAUUUGUUGAUAUAUAUAUAUAUAUAAGUUCCAUUAUGCUUAUUUAACAUUUCUAAGCAUGUUUAGAUGAUCAAAUAUGGGAAUAUAAUGAUUUAUGCAAUGUUUUAAUUUAUGCAUAUUUCUAUUUUAUGAUUAAUGUGAUAAUUGCUCUUGGCAUGUUGAUAACAUAAUUGGAUGGUUCAAAUUACUAAAAUGUGACUUGUUUAUAAUGCUUACAUGUAUACAUUCCUUCUAUGGUGACAUUUUAGCCAAUUUGAUUGCUUAAUCUUCAUAUAGAGUUUCAUUGAAGGAUGAUUUUUGAAUAUGUGGGGAAUUUAACAAUUUGUGUGAAAUUUUAGGAGUGAAAAAUACGUGAAGUGAAGUAUUUUAUUGUACCAUGUGUAGUUUCUUGUAUAUUUUCUACAGGUACAUCACCAAAACAAAAGCAUGAAGUUACGGAUCACCAUUUUAUGUUUAUUAAUGCGUUUGUUAUCACCUUUGUUUCUGAUUUUCAAUUCUGAUUUUUAUUACUAAUGAUUAUCCAAUGGAACUCAUGAACUUUUGGAGAUAAGUGGACAACGGUUUGUGUCACACUUCAUGAUACAUCAAUCACACCAAUAGGGGAGUAUAUCUUUCUUUAUCAUGGUUUUCCUUUUACACAUUGAGGAUAAUAUGUAUUUUAAGUGUGGAGGGGGAGAAUUGAGAUUAUAUGCAUUGUAUGUGAUUGACUUGUCAGUUGAAAAUAAUGGACGUGUGCUUAGAAAUGUUAUUAUGCUUAGAAAUUUUUUAAACUUGGGUUUGUUGGCAGGAAGUUUCAUCCAUUUAUAAGGGAAAAUUCUCCAAAAUUUUUUCAAAAUUUUGUACAAAAUUGUAAAAUUGCCCUCACAAAAUUUCAAUUUUUUUUCAAUUUUAUCCAAAGGCAACAAGUUCCAUACCAUUAGGAACUCAAAUUUCUUCUACCUUUGAAACAAAUAUAUAUGAUUUGAAAAUUUCAUUUCCCAUUUAACUUGGAAAUGCUUAUUAUGAGAUUAUAAUUUGUACAUUUAUAGGAAACUAUAUCGUGUAAAGUGGAGAAAAUUAUGUUUACAUUUUAAAAUUUUGAUAAAAUUUCUUCUCUUUACUUGAUUUUAUAUAGUUAAGUGAUAAAUAUAGUCAAUAAUUGCAAUAUUCUUUUCAUGAUUAUUCUUUUGAGAGACUUAUUAUUAUCUUUAUUUUAAAAAAAAUAGAAAAAAAAGAAAAAAAGAAAAGAAAAAGAGAAUAAAAGAUAUUAUAUUCCAAUGGUUCUUGUACUUAGUAACCGAGAGUCUUCAUUUACAAAUGUUGACUUUCAUGUAAAACGAUAUUUGAAUUAAGAGUAUGCAAAGCAAUUUGAGAAUGUGAAAUAUUGAGUAACCGAUAAUUUUCAUCUAAAAAUGUCGAUCUUCGCAUCAAAAGAUACUUUUACAACUUGAGUAAUAUUUAUAUAUGUGAUACGAAUAAAUCACUCUUUAAGUUAAAUAAGAAGAUGAUUGUGGAUUUAGAUAGCAUUUUUAUUGACCAUAUUAGUUAUUUGCUUGUGAAAUUGAGAAAAGAUGAGAAAUGGAAUGGAACUAGUUAUAAUUAUAGUAUAAUUGGCUCUCUUUUACUAGUUAUUAUGAGUACUUGAAGUUAAUUUGGUGAUUGCAUAAUGGUUAUUUACCUUGUUUUUGAGGAAAUAAAUUUGAAUUGUGUACAUAUAUUUAAUUUCAAAGUUUUGGAUCAUUAUUGGUUUGUAUUUUUUAAUUGCUUGAACACAAGCAAUGGUUCAAGUGUAGGAGAGUUUGAUAAGUGUAUAUUUUGAGUAUUUUAAGUGUGUUUUAUUAAUUAGUUUUGGUAUGUUUUAUUUACUUUUAUAACUAAUGAACUAAGUUUCUAGUGAGAUUUGCAUUUUUAUGGUCUAAGUGGUAAACAUUGCAUUUCCAUGAAUUUUAAUGGUGAAAACUUUAUAUUUUUGUAAGUUUAAUGAUUUAAUCAUCAAAUGACAUAAAUUAGGAAGAUAAUUGGAUGAUUGAUGAUGGUUUGAAGUGAUAAAAAUAGAAUAUGAAGUACAAGAGAUGAAAUGCAGCUUAGUAUAUAAGAAGGAAGUUUUAUAGUUUUGAUAUCUUGUGGUAUUUUGGCUAUAUCUUGAGUUACAAGUAUUGGAUUGAAAUGAUUCUUGUACCAUUUCGAAACUAAGAGAUAGGUCUACAUUUGGUAUGAAGACAUUGAAGUCCAGUUUAGUCGUUUUCAUUGUUAAAAUGUCAAAAUACAGAAGUGCAUUUUCAUUGUCGAAAACUGAAACAGAGUUCUGACCAGUUGAGGGUAUUUUAAUCAUUUCUCAGCCCACAGAACUCCAAAUUGAAUGAUUCUUAAUCCAUUGGAAAGUUAACUUAAAUAACUACAAUGUUCAUGUUUUGUACAAGAGUUAGUUCAACCUCUAUCAUUGAGAAAAUAUCAGUUAAAAUUGGACAAAAAAUAGAGCAAAGAGAAGAUUGACUAGAAAUGAGCAAACCUGGAAAAGAGCAAUACAUGGGGUACAAUACGUGACCUAAGGUUGCGUUUUCGAGGUCGCAUAUUCAUCAUUUUCAAUUGCAACUUGCUCUGCAAAUUGUGCUUUAUUCACACAACUUUUCAACUCAACUCUAGCAAGCAAUUUCAGCUAUAUCUGAUCAAAAAGAGUGUGGAAACUUGGAGAAACAACCUUUGGGAGUUUCAAGAGCCAAAGAUGACAACUAGAAACAACUAUUUUGUGGUUUGAAUCUCUCUAUAAAUAGCAGCAUUUGGAGAACAUUUUAAUAACUUUGGAAGGCAAGAGAAACUUCACAAAAAUGUAGUCUUCACUAGAAUUUUCUCAGGUCAUUAGUUAGGGUAGAUUAGUAUAGCUAGUGUAGUUUAUCCUGUUUGUAUUUGUAGUUAGAUUUGGAUGAAAAUUUGAAGAGCAAAGAUGGAGAGUUGGAUUUCAUAUGAUAAGGAUGACUUCUCUCCUAUCACUUUCUCUUUUGUAUUUAAUUUCAUGUUUAGCUAUAAUCUAAGUUUGGUGUUCAUUUUCAUGUUUUGUUAAAAUUUAUAUCUAGAGUUAUGAAUGAACUUUCUAUAUCUUGUUAAUGAUGUUUAUUUGAUUAUUUGGUGAUAUUAUUUUGUGCAAGUUAUUUAUCACUUUUACUUUUGUAAUCAUGAUUAACCGGCCAUUAAUUGUGAUAAUCUUAUGGUGUUAAAUUUGCAAUGAGAAUUGGAAUUUAACACUAAUUCAAGGAAGUGAUAAAUUUAGAGAGUUCACUCACAAGAGUAGAGGAGCACCUUUAUGGCUUUAAUGACUUGUUUCAUGUAAUUUCAUAGAAAGAAUGAACUUGUAGUUAAUUUCAUAACCACGAGAGUUGGUAUAACUUAGUUACAAGUGUAGUUGAUUCACUACUAGAGUUGGUUUCACAUAUAUUAGGAAAUUAUACCAUAACUAGUCAUGAUAAUAGAAUUCAAUUAACCGGUAAUUUCAUUUACAUGAGUAGUAAGGAAUUUCAUACCUCAAGGAGCUUUCUAGUGUUAUUUGUAUUACUUUUAUCUCAUGUUUGUAGUGUAGAUUUAAUUAUUUACACUUAUGAUAGUCUAAAAAAUAAAGGAGUUUGAAAACUAUUAGUAAUUGACAAUCUUCCUAGUGGGUUCGAUUCUUAAUACCCCUAUACUCAAUAAACGACUCGUAUACUUGUUGAAAAUCACGUGUGGGGUAUUUAGAAAUCUAUAAAUGUAAAAGUUAAUUGUAGAUAAGUUAAUUAUUAUAUGUAUACCCCGCGCUUGUCAGUAGAAUACAAGAUCAUUUACAUGUUUUGUGUGAAAUUAUUUCUUCUAAUGAUAUAUAAAAUGACCCUAGCAUAAAUGAUCCAUCUAAUGCGUGUUUCAAUGAGAAAAUGUCCAUUUUGCAAGAUAAUAUCCUUGGAACCAAUGAUAAACUUCAAGAGAUGAAUAUCAAUGAUAUAUAUUUAACCUCUCUUGAGGAGUGCUUUGAAAGUGUAGGUUCUAAAGAUGUUAUCUCCCAAAAAGGUUAUUAUGAACAUUCCUUUGGUGAGUUCUCAAGUGACAUACAUUCAAGGUAAUAUCUAUGAAUUACUUGAAUUAGGUAAGCUACUUCCAUCUCUCAUAUCAUGUGAUUAUGUGGCUUUUGCUAUCAAGUCAUCUUUUAAUGAUCCACCACGAUCUAAUCACGUUGGCCGGACUCCACCCGACAAUAAGGUAAUACUCGAGUAUACCAAUCAUUUACCCAGGGUUACCAAAUUGCCCGACCGAGUCCGCUUCUGGCACGAGUCGAUCGGUAAAGAAGGGCAGGGUUCGGUUCAACCAUCAGACUUACAUUCAUGCACAUAUAAUCAUUCAAUCAUUGUAAAUUUUCCAUUCAUUUAGGUCGAGUGCGAUAAAGUACACACUUGCCUAGAAAACUCAUUUUAGCAAUCAUAGAAUGCAUUUAACAUGUUAUCAAUCAUUCAUAACAAGCCAAAUAUUCAAGAAUAUAACAAACAAAAAACACUCACCUAUUUAAACAAAAGAACGUCCAAAAUAUGCCUCCGGAUAAUACCCUCAGUCACCGAUGAAACUUAAGAUUAAGCAAGAGAGAAUAUUACAGUUCAUUUAGCAAAACAAUUAGGUGAAAUCGAAGAAAAUCUGACUAAUUACGAGUAGAACGUAUAGAGAUGACUUUGAAAGGGAAAAGAGGCAUUUGGAUCUAAUGACAGAAAUAACUAAGGGUUUCACAAAUCAAACACAAAACUAAACUCAAAAGGGUUGUAGAAAAUCCCAACGGGAAACACUUGGAUCGAAAACAAAUUGGAAUCCGGCUAGAUAGGCUAAAGAAAUGUUUUUCGGAAUCGUUUAUGUAGCUCAAAAUCAACAUAUAUUCAAGUAGAUAUUACAUAGCAAAUGUCUUGAUAAAAAUCAUGUGAAAAGAAGGACAAAAAUACCUUAAUUUCACACUGAAAACCUCACUUGAAAGUAGUUUUCUUGUGGCCGAAAAAACCCUAAUUCAUACUUCUUUAUUUUGGUAAAGAGUAAGUAAACAUUCCGAGUUUCAAACUGAAGAGGUAUCUUGUUUUAAAAUGGUAAAAUGGUCAUAAUAUUCACCAAGCGAAAAUUUAUAAGUUCAAAUAGAAAUUUAACUUCUCUAACACCCUUUGAGAAAACCGAUGUAGUUCUCAAUGAAGUGCGUCCAACUUGACACAAAAUCACAUCUCCAAGUCCACUCUAACUCACUCAAAUUACAAGAAAAUAAACGGACAGCAUUUCCCCCUAAUUUCUUCACUUUCCAUCCUACAAUCAAAGAUCAAAUCUCAUCCCAAAUCAAAUACAAUUUCACAUACAAAUCAUAGGUGAUAAAACACCUUUCGGCAUAACAACCACAACCGAAGCUAUACUUAUCGGAUGAAAACGAAUCUUAUGGCGUUUUGAAACCAAGACAUAUACCUACAUUUGUUAUGAAGACCUCCAAAGCCAAAUCAUGCAUGUUCAGGGUCAAAAAUGAAAAUUUCCACGAAAACAGAAAUCUGUUCGCGAAACAGGGUUCAUGGGCAGUCAAGGGUAUUUCAGUCAUUUCACAUGCUACAGUACUCAGAUCGAGCUAAAAUUUUGUAGGCAGCUAGUUAAUACCAUUUGCUACAACUUUCAUGUUUUAACCUAAGUCUGAUUCAGCCUCCAUUAUGGCUGAACAGAACCGGCCAGAACAGAGUAAGAUAAAACCCUAAACAGAAAUUUCUGCACCAAACCAGAAAUUUUCCGCAACCAAUCAUAGCCAACAUAUACCAACUCCAUUUUACACUAUAACAAGCCAUCAAUCCAUGACUAAACAAUAAUUAUGAUAUAAAAAUAGAAAAAUCACUAAUAAAUAAAAAAUCCAUCAAAAUUCCACUUUCAACCAUAAAACCUACCACAAUCAACAUAUUUAGCCACUAAAGCUACUAAUUUUACAUUAGCAAGAACAAAGAGAAAGUUUCCAAGCAAGGUACCUUGACACUUCAAGAAAGGUAGUAGUUUAGGGGUUUCUCCUCCAAAACAACUCCACCAAGACCUUCAAUCUUCCUUAACAAGUCACUUUUGUGGACUAAUUCAAGGUUUAAUCGGUUGGAUUUCAAGAUUUGUGCAAGAAAUGGAAGAUAUAGUUGAAGCUUUCUUUUCUUUUCUCUCAAUGUGAGGUUCGGCCAACAAGGUAAAAAAAUGAAGAAACAUUUGGUCAAAAUUUGAUUUUAGUAAAGGUAAAGAAAGUUAGGCAAGUCCAACUUUCAAUCGUGUCGCGACACGUGGCACUUUUAAUGGUUCAAAUUUAUCUUCCAUCUUCCAAUGGUUAAUCUAUCUAACUAACCUCUAAUUAUCUCCUAGCACCUUAUAAAAUAAUAACACUUAACACAAAAAUCACGUAAUCACCAAAAUUUUAUUGCACUAGCGGGUCCCCCCACGUCUAUAAUGCGUUUCAAAUGUAACAUACACUAACUUAUACUAGGAAAAUGAUUUAAAACUGUACGUGCUUAUAAAAAUGCAUAGAAACUUUAAUAUUUUAAAGGCAAGUAUAAGAAUGUAGCCAAAAAUAAAAUAAUGCCUAGAAAAAUAUGAACAUUUUUGAAUUCUCACAAAGCGGGUAUCACGUGUAUUAGAAAACUACGCCAUAAUUUAGCUGAGAUUUUGGUAAUCAUUUGGUUAGGGAGUUGCACUAGGAUGGAUAGAUAGGGAUUCCAUUACCCAAAAGCUUUUAUUUGUAUUUAUCUGUCCAUUUAUAGUUUAGUUUAUUUUUUUUAAUUCGUUGAACGUCUAAAUAAUAGAGAAAUUUUAGCAGUGCUGGUAAUUAUCCAUUCCUUCCUGUGGGCUUGAUUUUUAAUAUCCUAUACUCACUCUCGACUCGUAUACUCACGAAAAAUCGUGUGUGGGAUAUUUAGAAUUUUAUAAAUGUAAAACUUAACUGUGAAUGAGCUAAUUACUAUAUGUAUACUCUGCACUCGUCACACAUAGAUCCACAGGCUAUUAUUAUAAUCCACAUUUUAUUCCUUUGUUUCUUUAUUUUUCUCUUUUUUUCUUUCAAAUUCCCCUACACUUAAGUUUUUUAUUUUUUUUUUGUUUUAACAAGGGGAAUGUACUUAAUUCUUUACUAUUUAAACCUUUUUAUGUGAACUCCAACAUUACUCAACUUUCAUCGCUUAAGAAUCACAUACUCAUAAUUAUUGCUAAUUUUUCAUAUGAAAGUCGACACUUUUAGAUAAAAACCUCCGAUUACUAGGCAAUGACAAACAAUGGACUGUAGUCAAAUUAAUAAAAAUAAGCAUUUAAGUACAAUUAAAAACACAAAAGCCUGCUUUAUAUCCCAAUAAUAUAGAAAAAUAAGAUUAGUAAUUAGGCCAAAUUCACAAGAAAAAUGCUAGAAAAUUAUUUACAAUGCCUAGAAAAGUUAGCCAAAAUUGAAAAAAAUCUCAAAAUAUCAAAUAUUCACUAAAGAAGCACUUAACACUUAACACAUUCAUACACAUAAACUUUAAUAAUAAUAACUCGAAAUACAAGCCAUUGUCUAUCAGGGAAUCAACAAUAAGAACAAAAAUUUGAAAAUCUUAAUAAAAAAUUUCACUUCACUCAUUCACCUCUUCCCUACACUUAAGACAACAUUGUUCUCAAUGUUGGAGAUAAAAUAAAGAAAUAAUAACAAGAAAAUAGAUCAAAGUGAAACUCCCCUGAUAACAAUUGGAGUGCCAAAAACCAAGUAAGGGAGAGAAGUUGCUCAUUACCAUCCAAUAGUCAAGUUCAAGAAGCCAUCGUACCAACCUAAAAGAAUAAGUGAACACUAUAAAUACGGGUUAAAAACACCACCAAAUAACCCAAACUAGAAAGCAAGAAAAGCCUAAGGAAAUAAACACCACCAUUACUCCCAAAAAACAAGAAAAAUAUUAAAUGAAAUUGAAAAAAAAAUUGGUUGCCUCUUGAGAAGCGCUAAGUUUAACGUCUUCAGUCGGAGAAGGCUAGAUAAGCUCAAGGAGGAUAAAGAGUUUCAACCUGUCUCAUUGCUUCCACGUUAUACUUUGGAAGGCUCCCAAGGUAUGUCUGAGGUAACAACUAAGUUUCUUCCUCCCCAGCCAUAUUGCGCUUCUGUACCACGCAAUAAGUAUACUUGCGAAAAUCCUGUAGGGGUGCAAAUACUAGAUUUUGUUCCAUGCUUAAAACAUUUACGGCCUUCAUAUCUUCAUCCUCACCCAAAGUAAUGAUACCUUCUAAUGGAUCAAAUAACGACUCACGGAUAUAUACUCCAUUAGAAACAGUAUUAAUAAUAUCAAGAUGAUAACAAGACUUAACAUAUGAGGAACAUUUCAAAGUUUCAAAAAUUUUAAACUCUUGCACAUUCUUACCCAUUCUUAAAGCAAGUUUCCCUUCAAGAACAUCAAUAAGAGCCCCUCUCAUGCCUAAGAGUCCUCUACCUAGAAUUAUAGGCAUCCUAAUAUCUUUCUUCAUAUCCAAGAUGAGAAAAUCUGCAGGAAAGUAAAAUCUACCGACUUUUACAAGCAUGUCCUUUACAAUACCAAUAGGAUAUCAAAUUGAACGAUCUGCCAGUUGUAGAGUCACCGUUGUAUGUAUGAGCUGAGCAAACUUUAAUUUCUUGAAAAAGGACAAAGGCAUUAGAUUAACACUGGAACCAAGAUCACACAAGCACUUUUCAACUAAAAUAUUCUCAAAAUAACAUGGAACUAUGAAGCUCCAUGGAUCCUUCAUUUUGACAGGAAGACGAUUAUGAGGUACUGCACUAGGCUCCUUGGUAAGUGAAACUCUUGUAAAUGCCUCCCAUUUCUUCUUCUUCUGCAUAAUUUCCUUCAAAAAUUCUGCAUAGGAGGGCAUAUUUGCAAUAGUUUCGUUAGCUAGAAUAUCCAUGUGUAACUUUUGUAACCUAUCUAAAAGUCUUUGAUAAGGGCUCUUCAACUGCUGAGGAAAGGGAAUGGGUGGCACAUAAGCUCUAACCUCGAGCACCUUAAUGGAUUGAUUUUCAACUCAAACUCUUUUCCCGAACUAAGUAUCUUCUCUUAAGUCUCGGUUGUGUUGUUAUCUACUACACCUUCCUCCUUGAGUAUACUUUUUGGCUCAUCAGUAGGAUCAUCCAAUACCUUUUUUGAAUAAAGGGAUAAUGCCAUAGUGGACACCAUAUGAGUCAUCUCUGUAUUGUUGUGCAAUCCCCUCUGCUCCCUUUGAAUCAAUGUCAUAGAUAAUUGGCCUACUUGCUUCUCAAUGUUAUGAAUAUAUGCCUGCUACCAUUAAGCCAAUUGAUCUAUUUCUACAUAUACUGCAGCAUCAUCUCCUCCAUACUGGAAUUUCUUUCUUGUGUAGGUAGUGGUUGACCUUGAGGCCCUUAUUGCUGAUUGAAAAACUCUAGUGGUCUGGCAAGUCCAACUCUUGAAUCCUUUCAUAUGAGAUUAAGGUGAUUAUUCCAUCCAAAACUAUAUGCACUAAAGUAAUGCUCUUGCUGGACACCAUAACCUCCAUAUGAAUACGGGUCUUGUGGUUGAGUUAUACGAUGUGAUAACACUUGUACAUGACGACUCAACUCAGCAACUUGUGAACCCAAUCACACUAACGUGCUCAUCCCAUGAAUAGCUACUCUUCUACCUUGAACUACCUUUUGUUGUGAAUUACUAGAGAGCAACUCACAUAUUGCAACCAAUUCUUCAGGGGUUUUAUCUCCAAUAUAUCCUCCAGUUGCAAUAUCCACCAUAUUUUGUGUUGUAAAUGUCAAGUCAACAUAAAAGAAUUGUACUUGCAAUGCCAAAGGAUAUUAAUGAUGAGGGCAUUGAGCAAGUAAUAGCUUGAACCGCUCCCAGGCUUCAUGAAUUAGCUCCCCUUCCAUUUGUGCAAAGGUGCAAAUCUUAUUCCUCAAAUCAAAUGUCUUUUGAGGUGAAUAGUACUUUGACAUGAAGAUAUUAUAAACAUUUUUCCAUGUUCUCAAAGACCCUUCUUGCAACCAUGAUUUGCUCAAUCCUUGAGACAAUAAGGGAAGCACGUCAUUCGAAAAUCAUCCUCAAUAAUUCUAUGCAAAGGAAAAGUUUGUAAUACCAAAUAGAAUUCACGAAUGAAGGAGAGAAGAUCAUCAUUCAUUAGGAAGACCAUGAAAAGAUGGAAGCAUGGUAAAGUGAAUAGUUUUCAACUCAUAAUUUCUGGCCUCUUCACUCGGCCAGAUACAAUAAGGAGAUGCUAUAAUUAUUGGGCGUUGGAUGCCUCUCAAACGAAGUCCAACAUUAUUUCUAUUAUCUACUGCCAUCUUGGACUUGUUUGAAUUUUUUUAUUUAUCAAACUCCAAGGAGAUAAAAGCCAACAAAAUAACGAAGAAACAAACAAAAGAUCAAGAAUGUAUGCAAAUAAUAACUAAAGUAAGAAAAUUAAGCAUCGUACCUAGCAACGGCACCAAAAACUUGAUCGAUAUUUUCCUGCAAGUGCACAGAGUCAAUCGUAGUAAUAAAAUCACUUGGAGUAUUCUAGGGGUCGAACCCACAGGGAUGAGUAAAUUUUCUACUUUAAUUAUUCUAAAAUAAAAAAAAUUUAAAUUCAAUGAGUGGUAUUUUCUAACUAAAUAAUAAAACAAUAACCAAUUCAAAUAAAGUAGUGGUGAGAAAACAAUAUAGGCGAGUUUAGGGUUUCAGGUUUUAAUCCAAAUUUUGAGUCAAUCAUCUAAUUAAUUUCUUAACAAACCAUGAACGCAUCACACAAUUGUAUUGUAGAUUAUCUCUCAAUACAUCUAAAGUGUGUCUAAUUAAAUCUUAUGUCUCUCUCGAGAUCGCAAGUAUUCAAUUAAACCCUUUACGAACUUUGGUGAUAUAAGUGUAUCAUACAAAUCGUAAGCUACUCUUGUGAUUAGGUUAAAUAUAUUUAUCUAUCUAGUACAAGGCUGUAUAUCCCUUCUCAAUUCAAUACAAACCCUAAAAACAUGCCUAUGGUGGCCAGUCAGAAACAUGUGAUUAAAUCAAGAUAAAUAAAUCAUAGUAAAAGGCAAGAAAUUAAACUAGAAAAAUUAAUCAAAUUCCUUCAUAAAAACCCUAACCCUAGAAACAACUUAGUUUAACAUGAUUAAGAGAUUAAAACCACGAAUUCAAAUAAUUGCUACAAAGAUGAGAAAAAUAGCAAGAAAACUUCUCAGUUGCUUGCUCUAAUCUUCUCCUCACGCGCGCCUUUGAUUUGCCUCCAUUUGAUCUUGAUCUCUCAAGAAUAGGCUAUGAAAAGAUGUUAAAACUAAACUAAACUAAUGUUUUUCCUCCCUAAAAAUGACCUAAAGAACUCCUAUUUAUGGUUUUCUGAAGAUAUAUCCUAAAUAGGGUAGGAAUAGGCUCUAUUGGACUCGAAAAAUCACGUUUUCGCACAUUUAUCCGAUGAAGACCUGCCCAAUGACUGGCCCAAUGUUCGGAACCGGUCAUUAGGCUAAGUUUAAAACACCAAAGAAUCUGCAGAUGUCUAGCACCAGUCUUGGAUCUGUCCGCGGGUUGAUAUGGAUCUGUGCAUGGAUCAAAUUUGAAGCCCAAAAACUCCAUCAAAUAGGCUGAAUCAGUCUUACUCAAAAUAGACAAGUUGUAGCCCUUUGAAUAAGCUUUCCAACGCCACAAGAAUCAAAUCAUUUGGAGGUCUAGACGCCGAGAUAAACCUAAAUUCUAAGACCUGGUCGUAAGAGCUUUGCAGCGCAGCUGCACUUCAGUAAUUUGAAUUUUUGACUAUGAAAACGGGAGAACGAAACUGUAAGAUCUUCAUAAAAGUUGUAGAGCAUUCUCUUAACUUCAAAUUGAAUCGAGAAUCAUCUCAAUCCAACUUGGGUAUUACCAAAACACUGAAACAUGUCGUUCCUGCGAAACCUCUUUCUGUUGACUUUAUUCUCUUUCAUUGCUUCUUCAUACCACAUUUUUAGUCCAUUUUCUCUCCAAUUGAAAUUGUCACCUAUAAGAACAAUAUAAGAGUAAAAUCAAGUAGUUUUUCUUCAAAAUAAAGUUCAAAUAACAUGGUUAAGUAGCAACUUAUACCUAUAAAUGCACUACAAUUUACAGCCUAUUAGUAUAGUUACAUUUUUCUUUACCUGAACCCGACCCAGACCUGUUUAUGCUAAUCUGAAAAUGGGUCGGGUACGGAAUAUUGGGUUCCGACUCGGGUUCGACCCGAACCCAUUUGAAUAAGUAAUUAUUUUGAUAAUAUAUUUGAGUAUUUAAUAUUUGUUUGGAUUUUUAGAAAUUGUAAUUUGUAAGCAUUAGAAUCAAAAAUAAUUUGUGAUUUUUAAUUGAAAUUUGUGGUGUACAAUUAAUGUUUGUUUAGAAAGAUAUUUUUUACAUUUUUUUGGCCUAAAUUUUUUGGUCGGGUAUGCCUCCAAACCCGAUCGGACCCGGAUCUGGAAGAAUAAGUUCAAGACCCGUCGAGUAUCCGGAUGGAAUCCAAUACAAGUAUAGCUAUGCGGAUCUAGAUCCAAAAUAUUCAAUUUCGACCCGUUGACAGCCCUAGUCUAGGAAGUAGUGUUCAGUGCAAUUGUGCUAAGAAUACUUUUUGUAUAUCGGGCUAUGGAUAUUACUUGCUUUAUAUAGAUAAUUUUUGAACAUAUGUGGUCCAGUGUUACGUACUUAUGCUUCUAGUAUUGAUCAAUUGCUCGUGUAACUUUUUUUUUCGAAACAAUAAGUGAUUUUAUAAAUGAACAAAAACUUUACAAUUUCAAGUAAAGACUUGAGGGAACUACACAGUCAGUGCUAACUAUCACUGAGGAAUCCAAAAUUCCUGGUCAUAAAAAAAGUCUAGCGCAUGAGCGCUAAUUCUAUGAGUAAUAUGGUUAAUAUCCCUAUUAACUAGGCAAAAGAAGCACAUGCGAAACAGGUACUUAAGGCUAUGUAUAUCCUUCAACAGUGUUACCACUCGUAUAUCCGAAGAUUUCGUCUGUUGGAUGAGGUGGAGCGUCUGCUUAUUCUGGACAUGAACUUCUAACCUCUCCAAAUUCUAUACAGCAACUUUACACAUCAGUAGCUUAAUUGCAGUUAGUUCAUCAAUUAGCUUAUGGCCAGAACAUCUUUCCUGUAAAGCCCAUCCUCUCAUCAGUUGUUGAUUAUCCAAAGAGACAGUUGCUCCAAUCCCCAUUUGGGGGCUGUCCUUGCUCUUUCUAUAGCAAACCUUAACCUCAGAAUGCUUGCUAUUUCUUCUUGUUGUUGGGGUGUUGCGGCUGAUCUCCUGUUUCUUCUGUACUCAUCUUUAAAGCUAUGACCGUAGCUUCACCAUAUUCCAACCAUUCCUCCUGAGCUUUCAGCACUAUUCGUAGUGGGGGAUGCUGCUUACCUUCAAAUUCCUUCGCGUUUCUGCUCUUCCAGAUAUGCCAAAGAAUGUUAGAUGUGAGAGAAAUGUGUUCAUAUCCCUCACUUCUCGACCUCCCCUCCAUCACCAAGGUCCAUCAUGAACUAAAACAACCUUGCAGAUUUGUAAUUCCCUCCCACUGGAUAGGCGCCAUUCUCCACACCAGUUUAACAUGAUUACAGUUAAGUAACGCAUGUUCAACUGUUUCGCAGUCUUCUUCACACACUCUACAUGUAGGAUCACUUUGUUGUGUUCCACUGUGAAUGAGGUGUCUUACAGGUAAUGCUUGGUUGAGACAUUUCCAUAAGAAAAGCUUCACUUUAUGCUUAAUAUUCAUUUUCCACAGGUGCUUCCAAAUUUUCUAACCUUGGAUACUCCAGCUAGUACUAGCUAGCCCCCUAAACUCCUGCUCGUAAGCCUUCAGCCCUUCAGUUUGUACCCUGUAGGCUGAUGGCACUGAAUAAUGCCCAUUUGAAUUAUGAAUCCAGAAGUUGCUGUCCUCUCUGUCUACUAAACUUACGGGGAUGCUUAGUAUUCCUUCUACCUCCAUGGGGGUGAAAUUCCUAAAGAGAAGGUUCUUGUUCCAUCUUUUCUGGACGAUCAAGUCUGUCACCUUAACCAAAUUAACUCCUUGUGGCUGCUGUGUUGUCACUCUUCCAAUUGGUGUCAUAGGAAUCCAGUUGUCCUCCCAAAUGUUAGUACUCAUGCCAUUACCAAUCCUUUUUCGAGUCCCUUCUUCAACCAUCAGCCUAGCUCGCAUCAGUCCUUUCCAAAUCCAUGAAGCAUUCCCAGCAACUUUACUCUUGAAUAUAGAUUGCUUUGGGUGAUAUCUGGACUUUAGCACUCUACUGACCAGCAAAUUUGGUUGAGUGAGCAGCCUCCAAAUCUGCUUUCCCAAUAAGGCUAGAUUGAAAGCCUCCAAAUCCUUGAAGCCCAAGCCACCUGCCUUCUUGUUCCGUGACAUCUUGUUCCAAGCUUUCCAGUGCAUCUUGUUCUUCCCAUUCUCCUUACCCCACCAAUAGUUGUCCAUUGUGGAGUUAAUCUCCUUGCACAAUUUUUUAAGUAGCUUGAAGCAAGACAUUGUGUAUGUUGGCAGUGCCAAUGCCACAUACUUGAGCAUAAUCUCCUUACCUGCUGCACUCAAAAGUUUAUUUUUCCAAGUUUUAAGUCUCUGUUGAAUACUGGAUUUAAUAUAUCCGAACAGCUACUGUUUAGAUCCUGUUACCACCAUUGGGAGACCCAAGUAUUUACCUUGGCUUACAACAUGGAUAUUUCCUAGAGCUUGGCUGACUUCCACCUUCAUUUCUUACUGCAUAUUGUUGCUGAAUAUGACUGAGGAUUUUUCCAGGUUAAUCAGCUGGCCUGUUCCUCUUUCAUAUAUGUUAAGUAACCUUUUGAGCUCUGUUGCAUUCUGGGAAUCAGCUUUACAAAAUAUCAAAGAGUCAUCUGCAAAAAAUAAAUGGGAUAGUCUUGGUCCCUGCCUGCUGAUUCUCAUGCCUUCAAUUUUUUUCUCAGUCACAGCCUUUUGGAGGAGAUUGGAAAAGCCUUCCGAGCAUAGGAGAAAUAAGUAAGGUGACAGUGGAUCAUCCUGCCUAAUGCCCCUUUGUGGCACCACAUACUCCUUGACUUCCCUAUUAACCAGGAAGGAGUAAUAAGCAGUAGAAAUGCACUCCAUGAUCCAGCUUCUCCAUUUGUCAUUGAACCCCAUUUUUCCCAUUACAGCUUCCAGGAACGUCUAUUCCACUCUAUCAUAAGCUUUAGACAUAUCUAAUUUUACAGCCAUAAAUCCUUCUUUCCCUUGCCGUUUGUUUUUGAGAUAGUGUAAAAACUCAUGUGAAAUCAUAAUAUUGUCUAAGAUUUGCCUCCCGGAACAAAAGCUGACUGAGUUUUACUGAUACAGAAAUGAAGAACCUACAUCAACCUAUUAGCUAGAAUCUUUGCUAUGAUUUUAUAUAUUGUCGUGCACAAGCUAAUAGGUCUAUAGUGCUUAAGGGAUGUGGGAAUCAAAAUUUUAGGAAUGAGAGAAAUGAUUGUAUGAUUUAUAGACUUGAGCAGAUGACUAGUGUGGAAGAAUGUUUGGACAGCUCCUACCAAAUCCUUUUUAACUAUGUUCCAAAACUUUUGGAAAAAAAGGGAGGCAUUCCAUCUACACCCGGAGCUUUAUUAGGAUUCAUAGAAAAGAGAGCUGAUCUAAUCUCCCCUUCGUCUACAGGUUUUGUUAGGUUAUCAUUCGUACUACUUGAGAUUGUGUGUGGAAUACCAUUUAACACUUCCUCCAUUUCAUUUGCGUCUGAAGUCUUGAAGAGUUUUCUAUAAUAGCUAGCAAUCUCUACACUGAGCUCAUCUUCAUUCUUAGUCUAUGUGCCAUCCUCUCUUUGGAUGUUGACCACUUUGUUCCUCCUCCUUCUCCCCUCCACACUGGCAUGGAAAAAUCUGGUAUUUUUGUCUCCUGCCUUGAGCCAUUGCACCCUUGCUUUUUGACCCCAGUAGAUCUCUUCGUCUCUAUAAGACUUUUUUAGUUCAUUCUUAAGACUCUUCUUCCUCUCUCGCUUCGCCUCAGUAUCACUCAGAUUUAGUUGCUGCAGUUGGUCCUUGAUUUGCUCUAUUUUUUGUUUUGAAUUGCCUUGGAUUUUACUAUUCCACUUCAGUAGAUUUACUCUACUCCUUUUCACUUUCUGCACAACCUUGAACAUCCUUGAGCCAUCAUCCUUUUGGUCCCACGCUAGUUUGACAAUAUCCAAGACUUCAUCUUGUUGGAGCCACCUUUUGUCAAAGUAGAACCUCUUCUUUCUCCUGAUUUGUGUUGGAUUUGUCUCUAUAAUCAACAUGCUAUGAUCUGACGCAAAUGAAUCCAGGUGUUUACAGUUAACCUUAUCAAAAAUUUGGAGCCCAGGAUAGCUACAUAAACCUCUAUCCAGUCUUUGUUUUAUCUCACCCGCACCUUCCCAAUUAUUACACCAGGUCCAAGGAUGACCCUCAAAACCACAUCCAUCAAUUGAUUAUCAUUGAUAAAGUUUUUGAAUGCCAUGAAGCUACCUUCGUCCCUCCAGGUUCCACCCCAUUUUUCUUCAUUCGAAACAAUGUCAUUAAAGUCACCGGCCAUAAUCCAUCUUUCUCCCCACAAAACUUUCCUAGCUUGGAGUACUUGCCAUUGCUGUUUCCUAACUUAAUCAUCACUACUUGCGUAUAUACCAAUAAACCACCAAUCCCAUCUACUUUCCUUAUCCUCAAUCUGAGCUUCAAUUGUAAAGGCAGUCUUGAGCACUUGUUUUAUCCUAAUCUCCUCCCUCCAAAGAAAUGCCAUCCCUCCUGCCUUGUUCAUGGCAUCCACGAUGACAGCUUCAUCAAAUCUCAAAAUAUUUUUGACUUUUUCCAGAUACUUACUUCUAUUUUUGGUUUCACACAAGAAUACUAUGUCUGGAGAGGAGAGGUUGUUCACCUCUCUUAACUGAGGAAUUGUCAAGGGACUUCCCACUCCUUGACAAUUCCACACCAGGACUCUCAUUUAGCCAUUGGGGUCCAUAAAGGGUUGGACCCCUCCCCCUCCUCCAUAGCAGCGAUCAAGUUACCCAUAAGAUCUACCUUGCUCCUCUUACCCACUUGUAUGGUGUCCUCAUCAAUAUCCAUAUCAAGUUCCCCCUUGAACCCUUUCCUUUUCCCAGCUUUCCUUUCCCUAACUGUGUUGAUGUUCACUUUUUCCUCUGGUUGCUUAGGUGUCCUUGGGGAUCUUAGGGUUCUCUGGAUUCGUCUGGACUGUUUAACCAAAGCUUCUUUGAUCUUUGGUCCACUCUCAACAGUUAUAUUCGUAGUUGCAGCACCUGGUGUUUCAUCCUUCUGUCCUUCAUCCCAUGGGAUUUGGAUUAUCAAGUUAACUUGUUCAUCCUCCAUUAUUGGACAUUCAGAGGCUAGUUUUACUGUGAGCUGUUCUUCUGGUUGAGAUAUCCCCUCAUAUGAGCUCGGCAAUUUGGAUUCCAGAUUACCCCCCUUUGAUUGUCCUAUGUGUAGAAUUUUCGUUAACUCCGAACCCACUUUGCUACCAGAUUCAUUAAGCUUCUCUGAAUGUACUCUCAUAUCUCCUAUCAAACCACUCCCCUGCCCAUCCUGGCCCCUGACAUUGCUUGUCACCAACCCCGUAUUAGCCACAAGCUUCCUAGCUAGACCACUUUCAUUGUCAAGUUGAGUUUCCAAGGCUUUUUUGGGGCCCUCUGAUUGCCUUUGCUCCCUCCACUCCCCAUCUUGAAGUCUCCAGUGAUAUUUUUGGGGGUUAUACACAAUACCAACUUGUUGCUUGUGCUGGGAACUCCUCACAUUGCCUUCCCUUAGCCAAGGGCCAUAUUGGUUAUCCUUUUUCCCCACCCCCUUGUCAUCUUGCCUCUGACAAUUUCUCUCACUGUGUCCAAUGAUACCACACUUAUAACAAAAAUCCGGGCACCUCUCAUAUUUGAAACUAGCCGAUUUAGUUUGUUCACCUACCUUGACAAUGGUACCUCGCAGUAGUGGUUGUGAGAUGUCUGCCACCACAAAAAUUUUCAGGUGUCUUCCUUCUUUCCCACCAGUUUGAGGGACAAUUACCUCUCUUAUUGGCUGAAAGUUUGAACCAAGCCUUCUCCCAACUUCCUUUGACAUCCAAUGGACUAGCAAAUUCCAUACCUGUACCCAUAAGGGAACUGACCUGAACGCCUCACCAUCCUUCUCUAUCCCUUCAUACCACUCGCUUAGCACCAGCACUUGGUUGUCCACUAUCCACGGUCCACCAGUCAGAAUCCUGUGUCUAUCAUUUGCUGAAGGUAAGAUGAAUUGGAACAGAUUGGGUCCUAGCUCCACCACUUGUAGUCCUCUUGGGAAGCUCCACGCAGCUAUCACAAAUUUCUUGAUUCCAGUAUAGUUCGAUACUUUCUCUCCCACGACCUUCCCAAUCAAACUACUUCUACACUCUUGAAACCCCCUCCCCACCUAUUUCCUCAUGUCCUAGGGUAGUGGUUUGGAGCUCUGCACUUGAGAGAUCAAAGUUUUGCAAAAUCUCAGCCAGUUCCUCCGCCAUGGGGAAGAUAAAUCAAAUGGUAUUUCACACACUUCUCUUUGUUAAGAAAGCUAACCCAGAUGUAAACCAAAAGGGGCGGAUCUACUAUAUACUCCCAGAACAAGAGUUAAAAAAGAAGAGAAGAGCUUAGACAAACCAAAAGGUGAUAGCUUGGGAAAGCAGAAUAUGAAUAUGAAAUUACCUGUCCCAGCUCGUACUGGUUUCCAAGGGGUUUGGAUGCAGUAAAGUAGAUCUGCGGUUAAGGAGACUUGAGUGUUUUUUAAUUUUUUUUUUAAUUUUUGCAUCUUCCUCCUAAAGUCGCUUUAGCUUCCCCUGCUCCUUCCCCUGUUUCGAUACGUACUAAUUCCUAGUGUCUCGAGGUUUUAUUUUUGUCUCUGACAGUGGAUUUUGUCCGCCAGUUGUUACCGCACCCUAGCCAGUUAUAAGGGUUGUUGGUGCUGGUCUGCAAAAUGUUGUUGUAGAUCCGUCAGCCUUUAAAUUCCUAAGCUGAUGAAAGAAGUCCAAAAAGAAAGGUAGUGGUAGAAAUAAGAGCACCAAUAGCAGAGUUUCUUGAAUGCAUUGAAAGUGAAACCUUCCAGAUUUAGCUUUUUGAAGCUUGUCUAAAGCUCCCACCACAAGCUCUCUUUAGAGAGAGAAAUGCCUCCACUAGAGAGAGGAUUAUAAAACAAUUGCUCUUUUUCUUUCAUCUUCUUAUGAAGCCACAAGAAUUUCGCAAAUAAACCUAAUCGCCGAAUAAUCCUCAAAAGCCGGUAACUUGUGAGGACGUCCAGGGGACUUAUCUACCAAACCCCCCCCCAACCCCAAGAGCGAUGUGGGAUAGAAACCCCACAGGGACAGCCUAUAGGGCGGCUACUGCUAAGUGUUAAAGAAUUGCUCGUGUAACUAGUUUUGUGGUUUCGCCUUAAAUGCCAAAAUAAUAAUGCAUUUCUACUAACAAUGGAGAAGAGACGGAUAAGAUGAAAGAAUGUCUUGGUGUGCCAGUGCAAUUAAUAUGAAAAACAAAGCUACUGGCUUCAACGACCCAUUGUGAAACAUGUGUUUGGAUGAUAGAUUAUUUGAGAUAAUUUUUAAAAAAAAAUACUAUAUCACUUUUUUUAUGUGAUGUAUGUUAGAUAAAAAUAAUAUUGAAACAUGUAAUGAUAAUGCGAUCAAAUAAAAUUUGAUAAAUAAUCCACUAUCCAAAUAAACCUGACUCUAAUCUACUAUCCAAAUAAACCUGACUCAAGGUAGAGCAUCUCUUUGCUUUAAUUUUUAUUUUUGAAAUGAGUUAAGGUAGAAGCAUCCAUAAGAUGUACUCUUUGUUCCAUUGAAAGUAUUAUACUUUUCUUUUCUAUCCGUACCAAAAUUUGUGUUACUUUUCACUUGUACUCCUUUAUUUGUUGGUAAAAAACUUGGGUAAAUCUGAUCUACAAUCCUACAUAUAAACCCUAUGGUCUAUUUUAAACCACAUCUUGAUUUCUACUAUUUAGGUAGUGUUUGAUAAAAGGGUUUCAGAAUGGAGAAUUGGAAUAAACACCAAAUUGUUGUUUGGAUUAAUACUAUCAGAAUUGGGAUUUUGGAAUCAUAUGUAAACGUUUGGAAUUCCCUAAUCCCUAAUAACCUGGUGGGUUUUGAACAAAAGCCAAAUCUGAUUCCUAUCUAAUUUAUCAAAAACUAGAGAUGGCAAUUGGGGCACCCGCCUAGCGGGGGGGGGGGGUUAAUGGGGCAGGAGGGAAUAUUUUUCCCCAUUUAGAAAUGGGACUCAUCCCUCCACCCGUUAAAAAAAUUAAUAUAUAAUUAUAUACAUAUAUACAUAUAAUUUUAUAUAAUAUAUAGUAUAAUUAUAAUAGUUAAUUAUAAUAAUAUAUUUUAUUAUAAUAUUAUUCUAAAUAUUUAAUAUAUUUAUAAUUAUUAUAUACACAUAUAUAUUAUUAAUGUAAUUAUAAUAUAUUAUUAUAUACACAUAUAUAAUAUAUUAUAUAAAUAUAUAUUAUAAUUAUAAUCAUAUAAUAUAUAUUAUAAAUAUAUUAAUUUUAUACUAAUAUAUUAUAAAAUAUAUAAUUAUAAAUAUAUAAAUAUAUAUUUAUAUUAUUAUAUAAUAAUAUAUUUAUAUUAUUAUAUAAUAAUAUAUUUAUAUUAUUUAUAAAUAUAUAUUAUAUGUGUAUAUAAUUAUAAUAUAUAUGUGCAUAUAGUAAUAAUAUAUUAUAUAUUUAUAUUUAUAUUUAUUAUACAUAUAGUAAUAGAUAAUAAUUAUUAUAAUUAUAGUAUAUGUGUAUAUAAUAAUACAUUAUAUUAUAUUUAUAAUUAUAUUUAAUAUUUAAUAUACAUUUUAAUUAUAUAAUAUAUUAGUAUAAUUAAUAAUUAUAUAUAUUAUAUAAUUAUAAUUAUAUAUAUUUAUAUAAUAAUAUUGGUAUAUUUAUAUUUAAUUAUAUAUAAUAUUUAAUUUAAUUAGUCACAAACAUAUAAUAGUGAUAUUAUUAGUUAUAUGUAUUAUAUAAUGUAUAUUAGUAUAUGUAAUAUAAUUGAUAUUAUCAAUUAUACUAUUAAUUAUACAUGUUUACUAAUAGAAAUUAUUAAUUAGUUAUACUAAAUUUACUAAUACAUUUAUACUAAUACAUUUAAUUAGUGAAAAUUUCUUAUAUCCCAUUUUGAAAGAGUCAAUAAACCAAACAUCAAUUAUAAUAAUGAUAUACAUUCCUGAUACUAAACUAAACAAAUGUAUUGGAAUGACUGAUUUCAUUCCAAACACAAGAUGAACGAUUCCAAAUCUGAAUCCAAUUCAAAGAAGCGAACCAAAUGUCACCUUAGUUCUAUCAGCAUCUACCUUCAUUCCAAAGUCCAACCAAAGUUAAAAACAUUCUUUUACUUUUCCAUAAUUGUCCAAAUUUCUCUAGUUAAAGUUCCACUUCUACUAUUUAAUUCCAUGGCAGGAUCUCAAAAUUCAAGUCCAACUCCUUCAUCAAUCAUGGGUUCAGUUCCUAUCAACAUGAACUCCAUUUGUGUACUUUUAUUGCCUCCUCUAUCUCUCUUCUUCCCUUUGCUGACAAAACAGUCACCUGCCAAACACAACCUUAUCCAUUGCUUUCACCAUAUCCAUUUUUCAUUUUUGGCAAAAAAAAAAACUUCUCUCCUUUCUUCUUCGAUUUCUACAGUGCUGUUUUAUGCCCUGCUUGUCUCGCUUUCGCAAUGCUUACUCCAACAACCCAUGCUUUGUGUUCUUUUUUUACAUCGAAUUGUAUACUAGUUUUUUUUUGUUUUUGUUUUUGUUUUUGGGUAAAUUAUUUAGUUUGGGCAAAAUUUGUAUUUAUUUCCAAUUUACUACCUUUAAUUGAUUUUGUAAUUGGAUCUUACUCGGCAAAUAGUUUUUUUUUUUUUUUUGGAGCUGAUCUUGGUAAAAGUUGUCAUUUUUACACGGUAAUUUUCAUACGUGCUAGUCUAGUGAAGUUGAAAUGGAUUGUUUUGGAGUUUGGUAACACACGUUAACUCCCUGAAUGCUAAUGCUGACCAAGCCAUUAAAGAGGAGAAAAUGCUUUGAAGUUUUCAAAUGAGGAAAAAAUCUUAUGGAAAAAAAUGCUUUCAAGACUUCAAAAGGGAAAAAAAAUGAAAAAAAAAAAAGAGGCUUUCAUCAAAACUCGCCUUGGAGGCUAAAACUUGCCAUUUUGCUUUGGUCAAAAUUGGAAGCGAGCGAGACUUCAUUCUGGAAGGCAAUGAAGGUGUUAGGUUGAAACUUCAAUACUUUGGGAGAUGGGAUAUUUUUAAUCACAGUUAGCUUUAAUGAUAGAGAAAUCUUAUUACUAUAAGAUAAUCAAAGGUUUCCAGUUACUGUAGCAUGCUGUCUCACUGGCACAUGGCACUCUUGGUGAAUUUUUGAGCUUUCAUUCUUUCCGUUUCUUUUCAUAGGCAAUGGGUAGAUAGAUUGGACUGCAUUGCACAAUGACCAAAUUUGGUCUGGCCUUGGCAUUCAAGUAUGAGGUCCAAUUAUUUUUAUUGGACUUUUCAAUUUGUAAGCCUUUUAUAGAUGUAAUUCAAUUACAAAUUAUUAUUAUUAUUAUUAUCAUUAUUUUAGUUUAUAUUUAUUAUGAUGUCAAUUUGAGAGAGUAUUUUUCAAAUCAUCGUAUUUUCAAAAAACAAAAAGAAAUAUUUAAAAUUGAUUUCAAGCUCUAGGUCUUGGAUAGAUGUAAUCCAAUUAUAAUAUUAUUAUCAUUAUCAUUAUUUGAAUUUAUAUUUAUUACGAUUUGAAAUAUCAUUUAAAGUUAUAUUUCACAGAUUAACUUGAAUUUAUUAAAAAUCAUAGAAUUCUAUUCGUCUUUUUGAAAGUUUAUAUUUUUUUUGCUAUGUUGUUAAUAUAACUUUUGCUAUUUCAGAAGCCGUCAAAAAAUGAUAGAAAAAUUGUCACAUUUUCAAAAAUUAAAAGAAAUAUCCAAAUCUCAUAGCAAGAAUUUUAUUAUUUUAAUCUACAUGCUAAAAAAAUAUUUAAACUUUCUUAAUCAAACCUUGGCUAUUUUUGAAACUCGAAGGAAAAGAAAAAGAUAUCUUCAAAGUGGGAAAAGUGAUAAAAAAAAAUGAAAUUGGUAAUUUGUUAUAAAUGCAAAACUGAAAUAGCCAACUAAUAGAAUAUACACCUUCGAAUCAAUUUUAUUUUAAUUUAUUGAUAUGUGAACAUUUGUCUUUUAUUUUGACAAAAUAAAUUUUUUGUUGAGCAAAUGAAUGCAUUAAUUUCUGAAUGACAAAAACUAUAUGCUUUUAUUCUAUUUUAUUUAGCUGCUUUUUUUUGUUAUUUAAGUGCUAGCAGUUAGAUUUUUUUUUUUUUUUGCCUUUUUGCCUUGUCAUUGGAUCAUUAGAUUAUGCAAUAAAGGUUACAUUUCUUUUGCUCAAUUUUUAAAACAGUCAACCAUUGCUUUUAUGUCUGGUUCUCCUUAUUUUCCUCUUAUUUUCCUAUGAGUCAAUAAUGUAAUCCUUUUUCAACUUCUCUACUUUUUCCCAAUUACCUAACCAGAUUUGAUAGUUGCUUUUUCCCUUAAUGUUAGGUUGUCCUUGACAACAAUCUCAACCAUGUGAUGAAUUAUCAAUUGUACUUCAUUGUUUCAUAACCAUUAGAUUGAAACACAAAGUACUGGGCUAGUUUAGAUAUCAUUGACUAGCUUUUUAGAUAAAACUAUUAUGGAGAAACAAAUUUGCAAUUAUAUAGUACACCCUGCUAGGUAGACUUGCAAGUGUUGCUCUGCUUCUUGUUAUUCGUGCUAUAGAGAAAGUCUUUUUCAGUUUCUUGGUUUCUUGCCAUUUGGUAAUAUGGUUCUUCUCAAAUUUUUCUUCAGCAUACGUAUCCCCAUUUAUAAGUUACUAUACUAACAUAUACUAGUUUCUUUUACAUGUUUUAUGUUUUCAUUUUGCAGUAUUAACAUGGUUGUCGAUGACUGUUGCUUUGCUGAUUACAUUCCUUCAGGUUAAUCACAAUGCUUAUAACCAACUUGCCUAAUGUUUGAUAGAAUACCGCUUAACUUUGCUCCCUAUUUAUAAGCUUGAUUAGUAAACUAUUAGUAGUUGCUUGCUAUUUGAACAAGUACUCCUACUGUAGCUGAAAUAUAAUCUGGUUUGCCGUUUAUGUAUAACUUAUCACAUAAUGUACUUGAAAGUAGUCUCUUUUGGAUUGGAAACCAAAUCUGCUCACAAGCUGUAUAUGUGCCUCGCAUAUAUAAUAUAUAUAUAUAUAUAUAUAUAUAUGUGUGUGUGUGUGUGUGUGUGCCUUUAUGAAGGAAAAGAAUUUCCGCACAAGUUCUUUGCAUUGCUUUUCAAUUCCUUUAACUAUUUAACUUUUAAAUACAAAAACCAUGUAAAUAUCUAUUGAACUAAACUUAAAAACUAUAUUACAAAUGCAUUGUUAAUCGCAUUGUUUUUCAAUUUCUUUGCUUAUAUUUAUCCGAUCAUAUUAUACAUAAAUACAUCAUGUACUUUCCAAUUACUAGAUAAACAAACAUUACAAAAGUUAUUAACCUGAAAAACUCUUGAAAAAAAAUAAUUUGUUAAUGUACACAAUUAACUAGACUCAUUUUAUAAAUAUUGCAAUUCACUAUCAAAUUACAUUCCAUUCCUUUGCCAACUCUAAAAUCUCAAGACUGCACAAUUUGAUUAAAACAUAAAUAGAAUUUCAAAACCCCCAAAAAAUUCCAUGUUCCACAGCCUCCACAUUUUGAAAAUGAAAAGGCAAAAUUAUAGCAUACAAAUUAGAAGCAAACAAUUAAUCAACAAAUCUAAAUUUAUUAAAAUUUCUACUAAAUUUUAUCUAUGAUAUCCACUUCAAUUACUUAUAAAAUAAAGCAAAAAAUUUUAAAUAGCAAGAAGAAGUAUAAGAAUUCUUCACAGUACUCAAUAUACACACAAUAUGUAUAGAUUUAAAAAUGACAAUUAACUUAGGGAUAUUUUUUGAAAAUUUCCUACUCUUAAACACUUUAAAAUGGGCACCGGCAGUGCGUGGCAUAACAAAGACUUACUAGUAUAUAUAUAUAUAUAUAUAUAUAUAGUAUUGAAUGGCGUGGCUUAAUGUAUAUCACUUGGUCUAUUCGUGGGCUUGUAGACCAGGUCUACUCAAGUUUUUACCUUGUUGGUUUAUUCACGUGGCUUAUCAAUCUUUGUCUUAAAAUAGAUCAAUCCGCGUGGCUUGUCAAUCUUUGUCUUAAAGUAGAUCAAUUGGUCCAUUGGUGGCCUGUACACUGGGGUCUACUCAAAUUUUUGCGUCGUUUGUUUAUUCACGUGGUUCGUCAAUCUUUGUCUUAAAAGUCGAUCCAAUCUAAACACAUCCAAUCAAUGGGGAAUUGGUAAGUAUUCAUUCAAUCAAAUAUAUACUCCCUCCCUUUUUUUAUAACUGACGUUUAAGGUUUUGCACAUCAAUUAAAAAAAAAUUUUCAUUGCUUAAAUCUAUAUACUACUUUUCUUUUGUACCCUCAUUAAUUAUCCAAUUCACUCAUGUUUUCUCUCACUAAAGUACUAAAUAGUGCUAUUUUACUAGACCAAAAGCAAUGCAAACUAACUCCCACCAAACUAAAUGUUUCUAAAGGGUAAAAUUGUGAAAAAAUAAUUAAUGCUGUAUGGGAAUGAUAGAACGACAGAUAAAAGUACUUAAAAGCGAAUUUUUUAAACGUCAAUUAUAAAAAAAGGGAGGGAGUACUAUACUUACUGCAAGAUUACCAAAUUAUCCUUAUUUCAUUAAAACACCAGACUAUUACAUUUUUUCAAUUAGACUUUGUAUGUUGUUGUGUAAAAUUGCGAAGCAACUCUUAGUUUGGACAGUAAAGUAGAUCUCGUGCUUUAGUGAUUUCUUUUGGCUAUUAUUGUACUUACAAUAUACUCCUUUCGUCCCAUUGAAAGUGUCAUACUUUUCUUUUUUGUCUGUCCCAAAAUUAAUAUCACUUGCUAUGAUUGGCAAUAAAACUUUCCCUCAUUUCCAUCUCAUGCCCUUAAAUAUACCAGAUUCCUUUUAAAUUUUUAAUGGGUCCCAUGAAACUACAAGAGUUACUCUAAUAUGCGUGAGUCUCACUGCAAAUGCAAACAAUGGCCGUGCAAGCUACUUUCUCAAAAAAAAGGCUGGACACAUUUGUAAAGUAUGAGUCCCACACAUCUUGUCAUCCCUUCUUUUUCUUUCUGCCACUCAAUGGAGUAAUGCACGGAAAGGGUAGCGCUGAAACUUAGACCAAAAUGCGACACUGUUAAAAAGAAACUCAAGACCCGAAGUGCGACAUUCAUUUCGGGACGGAGGGAGUAUUUUAUAACUUUUACUCGCAAAUUAGCGAUAUGUAUUGAGCGACAUAUCAAUUUCUUAUCAUAUGAAAAAUUAAAGUUCAGCAUUUAGAAUGAACUUGCAGAGUAAGUUAGAAAACCAGAUAAACUACUGUUUUAAAUCAUCAUUGAUAGUAAAUUUAUUAUUUUGUAAGUAUGACAAUUAAUUGUUCAUUUCUAAAUUUUCUUUUAAGGCAAUAGUGAAAUUUAGAGAAAUUAAUUCUGACUCAAAGAAAAUUCUUUUGAACAAUAAAACGUUUUCAUUUUCCUUUUCUGAAAAAAAAAACUAAAAGUGAAAAAAUUUCCCCCAUGAGGGCUUUAGAUGUACAUUUAUGAGCCUUACAAGCUGGUUAAACAUUUAUGAGCAUGUGCUACAAAUGCUUGUUUCAAAUGUUAUUUAAUUGCAAGAGGGCCAACCGCCAUUAUCAUAUACAGAUAGAUGACGGAUAUCUACCGAAAUCCGACGGAUAAAUCGGAUGGACUUUAUCCAUCAAUGCAAUCUUCACGUCCUCACAAAUUAGAACACGUGAUGAUCAUGUCAGAGAAAAUGGUCCAUCCUGAGUGAGCCAACUUGGGUGCUUGUGUCUACUUUGGAUAAUUUGUCGUAUAUACAUAAUAAUUCUGGGAUGGGAAUAUGGGGUACUGUCGGUGUAUGAUGUACCCAUCGGGGAGACAGUUAAAUAAGUGGACCAUAACGCAACACGUAAUAAACGUCAAAUCAGAGGUGUGCGAAAGGAAAGGAAAGGAAAGGAAAGGAAAGAGCGUGUCUCCACAAACAGGGCGCCUAAAAAUGUCCUGGCCCACAGGAGAAAAAGUCCAAUGCAGGACAAGGGGCUUUCAAGCAAAAUUGCAGGGACUGGUACACAAUUAAAUAUAAGCAUGCUGUGUCUAGGGACCAAUAUGCUGCAUUGCUGCUCACCGCUAUGGCUCCUGCAGACUGUUUGCCUUUAGGUCUGUCGGAGAUUUAGUUGUUCUGAUUGCUUGAUAAACUAAAGCUUAUCUGCGGAAAUUGGAGGUAGCAUUAGUGAGCACAAGCGAGCUUUUGAACAUUAAAAAAAUUUUUACAUUUUUCGCGAACAUAAAUCACAAUUUUAUUUUAUAUGUAUCAAAUCAUUGCAGUAUAAUUUUUUUUUUUUAUAAAAACUCCAAAAAAUUGCAAUCCAAACACAACCUUAAGUUUCCAUACUCUGAUGCCUCUAAAUAGCCUGGGGAGUUCUGAUAAUGGAUAUUUGUUAGGUGUAGUGUAAUGUUUAUAGGUCUAAGUCGAAUUAAAUAUGUAUCAAUGAAUUAGUAUUUGUGAUCCACGGCCUGUGAAUGUUUGUUUAAUUGUUUAGCCUUGUUGAAUUCAUGUUCCUAUUUUUUUUGAGGCAAAGUGGUCCUCGGUGAAAGUGGCAAUAAUGUUUUACUUAAAGCUAGUUUGGGAGAUGAGACUUGAACAGAAAAGAAAGGAAUAGAAGAGAGAGGCUGCAUCUCCCAUAUUUGAGAGUUUUAAGUGAAAAAAAAAAAAGGAAAAGAAACCGACAGAAUUAGAAAAAGGAAGAAACAGCUACACAGUUUAAAAAAAAUUUCCCGCCCAAAUCGGGCAGAAAGCAAAGGAAAGCAAGGAAAGGCAGCAAAAAGUUUUUAAAAUUGCCCAUUUUACCCCUAAAAAGCUGUUGAAUGAAAUAUUUAUUUACUUAUGUAUCCAAAAUCACAUGCUUUCUUUCAUAAAUUUCCAAACAACAUUAAAAUAUCUUCUCUUCUUUUCUUAUCCUUUCUUUUCUCUCAUAACUUAAUCUUUCUCUUCUUUUCUUUUCUAUCCUCAACUCACAAACUAGCUAUUAAAGCCCAUCAUGGCGGGGUAAUUGUGGAGGAAAAUAUCAAAAAAUAUAUCGGUAGAUUUGUUGAGAGUUUCGACGCGUGUAAUGCUGAACUUGUCCGGAUUGAAACAAGUUGCCACCGAUCUUCGGUAUCCAAAAACUACAAAUUUUCAGAAUAGAGAUCCUGAUAAAGACGUGAAAACGAUUCUUAGAACUCUAAAGAAUGAAAGGGAUGUUAGUGUUAAUAUAUGAUUGUUCAAAGGGCAAUGGAAAAGGGACAAAGGAAACUAUAGGCGUUUAAUCCUAAAAAGUAUGUUAGUCCAUUUCUUAUUUACAGUUGCUCAUUUAUAUACAUCUGUUGCGGUCUCAUGAACCGGAAAAUGCCACUGGAGACUGAUUGCAAGGACUCUAAUGCAGCUUCUACAGAUGUUGCUGAAGAAGUUGAAGUCUAAAGGGAAUUUAGUUUGGCUAGAAACUUCAGUUGUAAUUGUAAACCUUUGACAUAAUAUUUGUGGCCUUAUAACUGGCCGUAGUUAUGUAUAUUUUUGUUGGUUUUUAAUUGAAAUUGAAUGUAGACUUAAUUUUGGUGGCCUGUGGACUUGUAUUCUGAUAACCGGAAUUAUAUGCAUUGCUAAAUUAUACACUACUUUAGUGAUGCAUAAAUUAUAUACUAAAUUUGGUAGCUGAUUCAAUUAUUCUUUACAAUUGCUGUUGAAUGUUUCAAUUUAGGGACACACUGAGUGUGUUUGGAUUGAUGUGAUUUGAAAGAAAAUAAUUUGAUUAGUAAAUUUCAAUUAUUUUUUUAUUUUUAUAAUUAUUUUUUUAUCUUACAUAUGUCACAUCACAAAAGGUACUAUAUAAUUAUUUUAAAUAAAUCAUGUAAAUAAACUUCUAUCUAAACAAACUCAGUGUGUUUGGUUGUUGUUUGAGACUGAUUGUAUUACAGGGCAAACAUUGCCCAAUUUUCUAAACAAAAAAAGAAUGUUGUCCCGUCAAAACUUUUUUUAAUGAUUUUAAUAAGGGUUGGAAAGUAGGCUUCUUGUUUGGCCCCUCCGUCAACUGAGAAAACUUUGUAUCAUUACUGGCUCAACUCGAAAAGAACUAAAUUGGUUAGACAUAUAUAAUUGAGCGACUAAAUCGGCCCCAAUUCAAGUUUAGAAAUUAUUGUUGUUUUUGAUAAAUAGUUUAGAGACUAUUUUGGCCUUUUGAUCUAUUUCUUAACCAUGUUCAGAAUAGUUCUCCAAUUAAACAAGCUGAUACAUUUUGCCUACUGGUUUUCUACUUCUUUUUUUCUCUAUUUAAUGAUUUUCAACUUUUUCUCCAUGUCUCUCACAUAUUUUAUUCUUCUAACUAGUCACCUUACUCCUUAACGUUGCUUCUAACUAGUCUUCUCAAAUUCUUUUUCCCCCCUCUUUUGUAAGGUAAGUGAUAUUGCUUAUUUGUUGCUUGUUUUUUUUUUUUUUUUUUUUGUAUAUUAUGCUAUAUAGGUCUAUCUACGUGCGAUGUAUGUAUAAAACCAGAUAAUUCAAGCAGCACUAAUUGGAAAGUAUCGAAAAUAUUCAAGUGAUUCAUAUAAUUAUACUUGAUUGAAUCACGUCCUAAUAAUUAUCUAAUUUUUCAUGUACUGCAAAACUCACAAGAUAUCUAAAUAUGAUAGCAUCCACUACAGAUGAAUACAUUUCAUCAUAAUCAAAUCCAGGUCUUUGUAAAAAAUCCUUGAGUUAUAAGUCUUGCUUCAUUUUUCUCAUUUUCUUUUUCUCACAAAUACCUAUUUAUAUCCUAUUGGCUUUACACUUUCAGAUGUUUGGACUUCAGUCUACAGGUUCAAAAACUUUUCUUUUAGCCAGUGAAACCAAUUCAGAUUGGAUCGCAUCUUUCCAUUUUGGUCAAUCAUUUCAACGUCGACAUUCAUCAACCGACCUAAGCUUAUGAUUCUCGUCCUCCACUAUAAUAUUAAGUGCUACAUUAUAUGUAAAAAUAUUAUCAAUAAUUAUUUCUUUUCGAUUCCAACUUUUUUCUGAAGUAACAAAAUUUAUUGAAUUUUCUACAAUUUCAUUCUUUUCAAGAAUUGGUUAUUUAGGAGCAACCUCUUCAGGAGGUCGAAUUUUGUCACUAAUCGUUGAUUCAUCUAUUCCACUUUUUUUCGAGAAUUUUUAUCUUUGGAACCAAGAGGCCUCCCACACUUCAGGCGUGCUUUAGACUCAUUAGCACUUGUAAUUUGUCUUUCAGAGACAUUAAUUUUAAUCGGAGCAUUUUCAGCAGGGAUAUUUGAUUUAGUAACUCUUCUGGAGUCAUUAAAAGCAUCCGGUAAUUGAUUUGGAAUUUUUUCGCAAAUGUAUAAUCUUUUGAACUUCUAGUUCACACUCUUUAGUACGAGAAUCAAGUAAAUCCAAUGAUAUUUUUCAAAUAAUUUCCUUUUUCGGUUGAUUUUUAUCUACCUCUAAUGUCGAAAAAUGUGAUUCAUCAAAAUGACAAUCUGCAAAUCUCGCAGUAAAUAAAUUACCUAUCAAUGGUUCCAUAUACUUAAUAAUUGAAGGUGAUUUAUAACCGACAUAUGUCCCCAUCUUCUUUGGGGGCCCAAUUUACGACGUUGGAGCGGUGCAAUUGAAACAUAAACUGCACAACCAAAUAUUCGUAAAUGAGAAAUAUUAGGUUCAUAACCAAAAGUUAAUUGUAGGGGAGAAUAAGUAUGAUAACUUGUCGGCCUAAUCCUCACAAGUAUUGUUGCAUGUAAUACAGCAUGUCUCCAAGCAGAUGAAGGAAAUUUAGACCUCAUCAACAAUGGUCUAGUAAUUAAUUGUAACCGUUUAAUAAAUGAUUUGGCUAGACCAUUUUGUGUGUGAACAUAAGCUACAUGAUGUUUAACAGUUAUUCCAGUGAUCAUACAAUAAUCGUCAAAAGCAUGUGAAGAAUAUUCACCAACAUUAUCUAGACGAAUUUUCUUUAUUGGAUAAUCUGAAAAUUGUGCUCGCAAUUUAAUUAUUUGAGCAAGCAAUCUCACAAAUGCCAAGUUUCGAGUAGAUAAUAAAUAUACAUGUAACCAUCUAGUUGAUACAUCAAUUAGCACCAUAAAAUAUCGAAAUGGUCCACAUGGUGGAUCUACAGGUCCAUAUAUAUCACCAUGAAUUCGUUCUAGAAAUGUAAGAGAUUCAGUCCCAACUUUAACUGUUGAUUGUCUAAUAAUUAAUUUCUCUUGAGAACAAGCAACACAAGAGAAUUCAUUGACUUUUAAUACCUUUUGAUUUUUCAAUGAGUGACCAUGUGAAUUCUUAAUUAUUCGUCUCAUCAUUAUAGAUCAAAGAUGUUCGAGACGAUUAUGCCAAAUCAUAAAAUCAUUGGGAUGAAUAGACUUCUGAUCUACUUGAUGAUAAAUUUCAACUGCACUAAUUUGUGCAUAAUAUAAGCUAGAAGAAAAGGAAGACAACUUUUCUAUUACACAUUUUUGCCCAAAAAUGAUACUUGUGAUUAAUAAAAAUUCUCCGUUUGUCUUAGUCAUUGUUUCGAUAUGAUAUCUAUUUUCGCAGAUAUCUUUAAAACUCAAUAAAUUUCUCCGAAACUUAGGAGAGAGUAGUGCAUUAUUUACGAUAAUUUUAGUCCAAUCAGGGAGAAAUAAAGUGGCUCUUCUGGCGCUUUCAAUCAAUUUUGCACUACCACUGAUGGUAUUAAUAUUUGUUUCUCCCAUUUUUAAAUAAAAAAAAUAUUUUUUAUUUUUCAAUAUGGUGUGUGUAGUAGCACUAUCAAUGAGAUGAAUGUCAUCAUCACCAUUAUUUAAUCCCAAAUAUUUAGCAUCCAUUCUUCUUCAAGAAGAAAAUUUCAAACAAAAAUAAAUAUUAAUAAAGAUGCGAAAAUAAAUAUUGAAUACAAAGAAAAUUACAUGAAAAAUAUAAAAUAUCAUAAAAUAGCUAAAUAAUCAUAGGGUAUUUGUUGACAUCUUCAGAAUGUUCAAAGAAAUCAGUUACAUCGAGGUGUGUCAUAUCAAUAUCAUCACCAUCAUCAUAAUCAUUCUUUUGAUCAAUGAGAUUUGUUUCAACACCUUUGUCUUUCUUUUUCAAUGAUGUUUGAUAGAGGUCAAUAAGAUGCUCAGCUGUACGACAAGUACGGGACCACUGAUCUUCCAUACUACACCAAUAGCAUUUUUCUUCAUAAACUUUCUUUUCUCCAUUUUUUUUUAUCGUAGUUAUUAUUCCUCUUUUGAGGAAUAUUUUAUUGUUUGUCAUGGUUAUAAUUUCACGAGACACAAAUCUACUACGGUCGCGUCCACGGCCAUGGCUAUGUCCACAGCCUCCUCCACAGCUACCUCUAUGGCCACGUCUACGACCUCGACCAGAAUUUUGAAAUUGAAUUGCAUUCGCUUCAAGAAAUGGACUUGCACUAGUUGGUCGGGACUCAUGGUUUUUAAGUAAUAAUUUAUUAUUGUUAGGAAAUUGGCUUAAUUUCUUUUUAGGUAGGAUUCUUAUUUGGUGUGGGAAGUAACUAGUUUCCUAAUUGGAUUUAGUUACUUGAAGUAGUAGUCAAGUAAAGUCCUAUUUAGUUAGAUACUAUUUUCUACUCUAUAUGAGUUUAGGAAAUAGUAUUGGUUUCCAAUUGUUAUUUGAUUUUUUUGGCAGUAAUGCUCUCUAUAAAUAGGUGGGUUGGCAUACUACACACAGGACGCACAAGGGACACAAGGGGCAUCAUGUAGCCUUAUACAUGGGGUGUGAGAGAGGGUUCUUAGGAGAUGAGAGAUGGUAUACAAGGGUUGGGCUUGGGUUCAAGUUGUAUUCUUGUAUAGGAUUUUCCUCUCAUAAUAAAAAACAGGUUUCUCUCCGUGGAUGUAGGCUCAAUAGUGGAGCCGAACCACGUUAAAUAUUGUGUGUCGUUUAUCUUUCAUGCUUGUGACUUGUUUCCUCAUUAAAUUGUUGUGCACUUGAUGUCUCAAUAGUUGUUUAUUCCGCGCCUGGAUCCUAACAAGUGGUAUCAGAGCUUGGUUGUGAGACUGGGCUGCUCAAGGUUCAUAGUUGGAUCCUAGUUAACUAUUGAGAUCAAGUGAAUUGGUAGUUGUCACCAAUUGAACAAUUUAAUGGGUGGUAUCCUUGUUUCAAUGGUUUGGGAAAAACCAUUGAUGGUGAAGGAUGGGAAGUCGAAAAGCAUGGAAAUGCUUGACAGUGAAUCUAAGCAGGUGAUUCAAGGGUCAAGAAAAAGGUGGAGUCCAAUGUUGAUUUUGGACGUGAAUCGGUGGAGACUUUCUCACACCUCCAACGGUUGAUUCUUCAUCCCGGUGGAUUUUAGAUUUUGGUUAUGUUUUUUGGGUGGUGUGGCACGUGUCCCAAAGAAAUAAGGAGAUCUAAUUUCUAUGCGCCAGAAGACUCUGACAGGUACGAGUUUUUCGUUUUAGGUGGAGUCUUGGAAAUCACAUGUGGCGAGACAGUCCUGAGGAUGGGAAGAAGUAUGGUGACUUUACUACUUGAUUGCCUCAAUGGUUAAGGUUAGAACUCACAGAAGGGGAUCCCAGAUUGCAAGUGGUGGUGAGAAGAAAUCCUGCAAAGGGAGAUGGUGAAUUGAGGCACCUUCUCACGAGUCAACUGGAGGUUGGACUCGGGAUAAUUACACAUGUUUAUUUGCCGAUUGAAUCAACUUGGUGUCAGGACUGUAUUGAUUCGAGUGUGUAGUUUGGUACCAUAUUAUUUGGUAGUUGAAGGCAAAUGGUUGCUAAAAGAAAUUUUCGCCAAAGUGGAGAUUUGUUAGGAAAUUGGCUUAAUUUCUUUUUAGGUAGGAUUCCUAUUUGGUGUGGGAAGUAAUUAGUUUCCUAAUUGAAUUUAGUUACUUGAAGUAGUAGUCAAGUAAAGUCCUAUUUAGUUAGAUACUAUUUUCUACUCUAUAUGAGUUUAGGAAAUAGUAUUGGUUUCCAAUUGUUAUUUGGUUUUUUUGGCAGUAAUGCUCUCUAUAAAUAGGUGGGUUGGCAUACUACACACAGGACGCACAAGGGACACAAGGGGCAUCAUGUAGCCUUAUACAUGGGGUGUGAGAGAGGGUUCUUGGGAGAUGAGAGAUGGUAUACAAGGGUUGGACUUAGGUUCAAGUUGUAUUCUUGUAUAGGGUUUUUCCUCUCAUAAUAAAGAACAGGUUUCUCUCCGUGGAUGUAGGUUCAAUAGUGGAGCCGAACCACGUUAAAUAUUGUGUGUCGUUUAUCUUUCAUGCUUGUGACUUGUUUCCUCAUUAAAUUGUUGUGCACUUGAUGUCUCAAUAGUUGUUUAUUCCACGCCUGGAUCCUAACAAUUAUUUUGUUCAGUCAAGAGAAGACAUUCAAUAAAUUCAGAAUAUUUUUUAAAUCCCUUCUCUCAAUAUUGCUGUUGCAGGAGCAUGUUAGAGACAUGAAAAGUAGAAACUAUUUUUUCUAACAUAUCUUCAUUGGUGAUUUUUUUCACAAUAUAAUGAUAAUUGAGAAGUAAUUCUGAACAUGGUUGAAUUAUAUUCAUUGACAGAUUUGAAAUCUUGUUGCCGUAAGUGAAACCAAUCAUAUCGGGCUUUUGGAAGAACAAUCAACUUCAGGUGGUCGAAUCUUUCUUUCAAAUCUUGCCAAAGGACAAGAGGAUCUUUAAGAGUAAGAUACUCUAUUUUUAAUCUUUCAUCUAAAUGAUGACAAAGGAAAAUCAUAACUUUGGCACGGUCUUGAUUUGAAGAUUCAUUUUUUUCAAUAAUAGUAUUAUCAAGAUCCAUUGCCUCAAGAUGAAUUUCAACAUCUAAUACCCAUGAUAAAUAAUUUUUUCAAAAAAUAUCAAGAGGUACGAACUCUUGUUUUGUAAGAUUAGCCAUAAGAAAUUAAAAUAAGUUUUUGAGUUAGAAAUUUACCUCAGAAGUUACUUGAAGAAAAACGGGCAGAAUUUUGGCAAAAUCUCGUGUUUCACUUUUGUUCAAGGUAGAGGCUCUGUUUUCAUCUUUUUCUCAAGAAUAGAGACUUGUACUGAUAACGUGUUAUAAAACUAAUAAAAUAACAAGAUGUAGGAUAAAAUAAAAUAGAGAGAAGUAGGCAAAAGUAGUAAACUAUUCUUUUAUCUUUGAGGGAAUUCAAUAGACAUAGGAAAACUUAAUAAAUAUAGGAGAAUUUAAUGGACAUUUAUUCCCAUUUAAUUGUUUCAUAACAACUUAGUGGAUAAAUUCCAUUAUUCUUCUAAAGUUAUAUGACUAUUACGAAGGACAAUACGCUUUAAAGUUAUAUGAGUACAAUCAAUUAACAUAUCUAGUCUAUGGAAGAAUGUCAAUCUUUCCAAUUGAUUUCAAUUGCUGAUGUGGUGCCUCCUUAUUGGUCAAUUAAUGAUAGUCUUCCAAUUGAUUGUAAUUUGAUCAGACGUGGUCUUGUGAUUCAUCAAUUCAUGGUUGUCCUCCCAAUUGCAUACAGAAUUGAUGAUGUGGUGAGUUUUGAUUGAAUGGGAGAUGGUAAUUAACAUAUUGCAUGUGGGAUUGUGCUAAAUUUUGGUCUUUUAUCAAUUUUUCCUUUUCCAACAAAAAAUCGUGCUAACAAAAAAUUGGCCUCCCUUUCUUUUUUCUUCUUGUCCAGCAAAAUCACGUUUAACUACCAAUCUUUCUUGAUUAAUUAAUCAUUAUUAAUAGCUCAUUAAUAAUGCCGUGUUUUUUGACGGUAAAUUAAAUAUAUGUUCCGCCUUUUAUUGCCUAACAGAUCACACCUAAUUACCAAUUAUUUACAAUUAUUGACACUCUCGUUUGGUUGCCAAAUGAAUCAUAAUUAAUUAUCUUUUUUUUUAAUUGCAUGUGUUAUGCUCCAACCGUGACAAAAUUGGCUCCUUUUUUUUCUGUAAAAACAACCUUGCACAUCGCGUUUCUCUUUAUUAUUAUUAUUUUUUGGGAAUGAGAGGGGAAGACAUUUAACAAUUAUUAUCAAAUUCUUCUAAUUAUCUUUACUUAUUAUAUUAUUAAUUCUGUGCAAACGAUUGAUAAUGUGGUGCCCUUCCAGUUGUGUUAAUAACGUGGCAACAGGUACGUUUAGUUACAAAUUUUUAAAGUUUUCUCAAUUAACUAUUAAUAACUAAUUAAUAGUUUCAUGCAUUUGGUCGCACAACACACCACGUUCAGUUAUCAUUUCCCACUCUUUUUUUUUUUUUAAAUAAAACCUGAUUUUAUUGCACUAGAAUGGACAUAAUACAACUCUCAUCACAAUCUUCUCCUACGAAAAUUGGGGAGACCUAACUGCUCCAGUUGGAUCUCACCCCUAACCCUAGCAGGCAAUUCGCGAUGACUCCAUCAUUUCCCACUCUUAAUUGUUAAUUAAUUAAUUGAUAUUUUUGCUAUUUUAUUGCCUCAAAAGUGAUAUCUAAUUAUCAGGUUUUUGCAAUUAUUACCACUUUCUUUUGUUUGCCAUAUAAAUAACAAUUACUUAUCAUCUUUUCUUUUCAAUCACUCGUGUAAUGCUCCGAUUGUGAAAAAAAUUCCUCCUUUAAAAAAAUAUGGCGAAUUAUUUACACACACUGACUUGCUUGUAUCAUUAAUACAUUUUCUAAUCAUCUUUUUAUUUCACAUACAUCAUAUCAAAAAAGCGCUACAGUACUUUUUCCACAAAAUUUUCUCAAAUAAUUUACAAUCCAAAAGUGUUACAUAAUUUUUUCUGUUGUAACUUGCCUUCUUAUUACUAAUUGACAACUAUUUUUGUUAGUAAAUAUUUUGUUCUUUCAAUUGAAACAUAUACAUGUUUUCUCAAUUCCUUAAUACACUGCAUUCUCGGACAUCACUUGUCCUCCUUUGCAGACGAGUGGUUGUACCUGACCCGAAUGAUGGAUGUUUUAUAUCACUAUAUUACCCAUCCCUUGUGUGUGAAUUUACACUUCCACUCAACAGGCCUUACAAAUUUUUUUUCCCACUUUCCUUAAGGUCACUCUGCACUCUUGUUAUUAUUGAGGAGUUAAGGGGAUUUAGUUUCUUCGGGACAAUUGCUGUAAACUGACUGCUAUUUUAUUCUAUGUUAUACCUUUAAUUACCCAAAAAAAAAAACACUAUGAGUAAGGGCAUGUUCUGUGAGUCCACAGGUCGCUUACAGUGACACUUACCGUAACACUAGCAAAUUAUCUAUCAUUUCAGUCUUCACAUCAACAGUUGAUACGAACGCAUCACCUUUUUGGAGAUAAUGGUCCAUCCACGGUGAGCCGCCUCGUGUGUUUGCAUCUACUCUGGAUUCAUGCACGAGCACAAAGGUGAUAAUCAUCCACUUGGCUGCAUCCCUUUCAGAGCGAUAGAUACCAGAAGUUACGUUGUACAUAUAUAAAAUUUUGGGAUAAUUUCCGAAACCUCCCUUGAGGUAUAUAAAAUUUCACUUCAGUUUGACAAAACUAAAUAUUUCUAUCAAAGGUCACAAAUUGAUAACAUUACUCUUACUCUCAAUAAUUAUUUAACCAAAAAAAUAAAAUAAAAUUUUAAACCAAAAUAUGUAGAUUAAAAAGAUAAAUUGAUAUCUAAUAAUGAUCCAUAUUUCUCUAUAUCAAGGUCGUAGUGGAAUAGCAAAAAACGUGGAUAAAUUAAAUCUAAUCAAAGUUAACCACUUGGAAGGAUUUUGGUAAGUAAUUGACACUUUGAAAAAUUUCGUGGACAGUUAUAUUUUAAGAAGUCAAGAAAUUUUUUAGGAAAUAUAUUUUAAUACAUGAUGUAGUUUAAGUUAUAUUGUAAACUAAAAUAAUCUCUUCAUACAUUUGACUUUUUCAAGGCGUAAAUUUUUCAAUACAACAAAAUAAAUAGUUCUGAUAUUAAGAGAAACCUUAGGGGAUAUUAAGAAUUUACACCAUAUAAAAAAUUUCAAGGUGAUAUUAAAAGAAACCUCAUGGAGGUUUCUGAUAUUAUCCCUUUAAAUUUUAUAAAUAAGUGGGGGAAGGAUUACCCUCUUCAUGCCAGUAAUGAAGGCCCAGGAAAAAAAAACUUAAUUGGAAGUAAGUGAACCCCAUAAAAAUGUGGAUGGAAAAAAAAAAAAAAAAAGAAGAUUGUCGAUGAUGACAAUUAUUUUUACCUUUCUUCCAUGUCAGGAUAGACCUAUUGUAUUCCCUGACUAGAGCUUGUCUAAUCUAGUGAAAGAGCCUGAAUACAGAUGAAGGCAAUCAAGAUCAUUUGAAAGUUGUUCUAUUUCAAAUGAACAAGAUGCUUUCUUCUUCUUCUUCUUCUUUUUUUUUUUUUGUCAAACUAUGAAGUAUCACCCACUUUUUCUAUACAGCGACAUACCCAUAAGAAGUCUUUUGUAGUGUUGUAACAAAUCCAGACCUCUACCAUAAAGAAAUCAAGAAGUGCGACUCCUCCUUUCCAGUACCUCAUCCAGGAGUUAGUAUAUUUCUUGCGGAUUUAGGGAAUUCUUUUCUUUUGCUCAUAUUCCCUCUCAAAUGGAUUUGAUAGGAGGAGUUUCUACGUCUUACCUGUUCACUUUUACUUGAAUCGUUUCAUUCAAAAUCGUAUAACAACUCUGC